UUUUUUUUUUUUUUGCUUCGUGCAUGCUUUGUAAAACAUAAGAUGCCCUUUCAACACACUUCUCAAUCAAUGGGCCAUUGCUCGGAUCCUGACUUUAUACAUAAAACAAAAAACAUUUGAUAUAGUUUUUGUCAUGAAAUUAAAUUGAGAGACCCCUUCAAUUGGGGUUUACAGCAAAACAUGCAUGCAUUAUUGCUUAAACAAUGCUAUAAUGGAGGAACUGAACAUCAAUGUUUCAUGUAACGUUGAUCGGUCUUAUCAUAGUCAUAUCAUGUUCUUUUUUUCUUCUUCAAAUAACACAUAAUAUUUAUACAAACUUAAUUAAUUCAACGCACCCUCAUAAUUUUGUAUAUUAUUAGUAUUUUUUGAAUUUUACAUAGGAAUAAAUUAAAAUUUUGUAAUUAUUUAUUUGAUGAAAAAUAUUUUUAAUUAUUCUGAUCAAUAUUAUUGAGAUAUCAAAUCAAUUUAAAAUUCGACAAGCACAACAAAUUUAAUUAUAUAUUAUCAAAUUCAACAAUCAACAAAUUAAAAAUUAGGUGAAAGUAACCGAUAGUUUCUGUCUAAAGGGACUAGAUCAAAUUAGUCUUUUAUUAUUAAAUGUAGUAAUUUAAUUCCUAUACUAUUAAAAAGAAUCAAAUAAGACCAAAUUUUAACAUAAUUAGCAUUUAAUGUUUUUAAAAAUAUUAUCUAAUGUUUAACCAUGAGCGGUUCCAAGGGAUUGGUAGGGGCCAAAAUGGAAAAUUGGAUGUUUGUCUAUAAAUUUUAUAAAAUUAUAAGUUAGUACAUGGUAAAAUUGUAAUUUGUGUCCAAAAUGAUAAAAUUUUAAUUUAAUUCUUUAAAAUAUAUAAAGCUAUAAGCUAAAAAAUGGUAAAGUUAUAUUUUAGCUCCCAUAACAACAUGUAACUUAAUUCUUGCCCCACAAAUGUUUUUUUGCUUUGCCCAUAUGUUUAAUUGAGUUAAAAAAUGAAAAAUUUUCUUUAGAGAAUUGCAACGGAAAAAGAAAAAAUUCAUAUAAUUUCUUACAUAAUAAAUGUUAACUUAUUACAAUUUAGUCUUAUUUCAUUCUUUUUAAUAAUAAGAGACUAAAUUAAUUUAUUUAAUAAUAGAAAAAUUAAUUUAAAAUUACAUAAAAAGUCAGGUUAGUAAAAAUUUUAACACAAUAAAAACCGUCUAAUUCAUUUCAAAUCAUUCCCUAAAAAGAAAUUGAUUAGUCAAUUUCAUGUCAACUCGGUUUUCCUCUUAAGGUUUUUAGUUCAAAAUUUUAAUUUAUAAUUUUAUUUGUUUAAUCAUACUUUGCAUAAAAAACAAAGGUAUGACGAAGGUAAAGCUAUAAAAAUCGUUUUUAGAGGCUAAAAGUAAAUUAUAAAUAUAGUAACUUAUAUAGAUUUCAAAUAAAUCUACCAAUUUUAAAGGAUCAAAAUCACUAUUUGCCUCUCUAGCUCCCCCAUUAGAUACUUAUGACAGGCACAUCAUUACAUCUGAUGUUAACCUAAAUUUUGAAUUCAAGUAGCAUAGUUGAAAUCAUCAUGUAAAUGGAAACAGACGGCAUUACAAAAGAGAGAAAACCUUUGAUUGACAUAUUAGCACCAUUAUGCUAAGCACAUUCAAUGAGUUUUUUUGCAACCAAAAGGGUGUGUGUGCUUCCAACCAACAUUUUGCACACAAAAAAGAAUCUUAGCUUUUGGUUGGACUCCCACCCACUCCCAUGUGUUAUAGGUCCCAAUUUCAAUUUGUUUUGAUGCUAUAAAGUGCUUGUCUUUGCCAAUUUGUUUUGCAAUUUUAUUUAUAAAUUUCCCCCACACCCACAUUAGGUAACCUUAUGUUUAGAAAGGGGUGUACCAAUACCAUGUGAUCUGGUGGCUGCCUGGCCACAACGAGGAUAUGGAAAACUUAGCCCAUGGUGGUGGUGGUGGGGACUAAACCCUUCGUCUCCAACAAAAAAAAAAAAAAAACUAUUGAAAAACAAUGCUGAACUUCACGUUGCCCCCUCGUGGCUUUAUCAUAUCAUAAUCAUUCUCGCUACUAUUGGUUUUAGACAAUUGACAAGUACUUGAUGGUUUAAGUAACCCUAAAAACACGAUAGUAUAUGUAUAUAUAAUCUGGUUCAUCGGUAAUGAAAAUUUUAAACUCCAAUAAAUUUUUUUAAUCGUAAUCAGAAUAUUUACUGUUAAUAACAAUGACUAAUCAUUUUCACCGCGGAUGCAAACUCCAAUAAUUACUAGAUACAUUAUUAUUUAUAUUAUGUUUUUCAAUUCCAUAUAUAUGAUGAAUGGUAUGAAGACUUCAAAUGUAAUCCAAUUAUUAGCUUCGAAGACUUGUAGCAAUCCAUUAAUCCUUCUCUUUUUGAAAAUUUUGAGCUGGAAUUUGAUUUUGGGCGAUCAAAUUGCAUGUUGUACCUUUCAAUUCUAUCCUUAAUUUUCAGCAAGAAAAUGUUUUUUUUCCCUAAAAGGAAUAGGUCCCAUCUUAAACAUAUUGGAUAAGAAUUUUAAUAUAACAAGUUAGGUUAGCAAAGGAAUCUCCAAAAGAGUUGCCUGUUUAUCACUCAAAAACAUCAUACAAAAUAUUUUUUUAAUAUAAAAUUAAAAUUUCUUAACAUUUUAAUGAAAUGAAAAACAGGUCGAGAUAAUAAUAUAUAAUCUCCAUUUGUUGAUAAGUUCCAAAGCAGAACACUAAUGUUCAUUCGUAGCUUAAAAAUAAAUAAGUAGUAGAUGUUGGGAUUUGAAUAUCAAACUCAUUAGAUAUUAUCUGACUAGGCUUAUAUGUUCUACGUUUUAAACAUCCUUGAAGCAAGCAAGCUAGCUGCUAUGCAUCGAAAAGGAUUACGGCGAAAAAGGACCAGCGUUCCCUAUAAACAGAGGCCAACAAAACCACAAACCCAACCUCAUAGGAUGGAGAAAACUAUUAAAAUCUCAGCUUGUACAAGAUAAAGUCUCGAAAGGCGAUGAGAACUUGGAUCAUAGCUAUUAGAUUCUUGUAUAUCUAGAUUUACUUAUUGUUAUCCAAAAAUUGCCGGCAUGUAUUAACCAACUAACCUCACAUGCUCCAUACAAAAAGUAUAUGGAUUGUUAUUUGUUAAAAAUUGACAAUUCACCACUCAGUGUUGAAUCACUUGAGCCUUACAGGAUCAAAUUAUUUAGCACCAUAUUUUUGACUUUUGCAUUGAUUUGUUUCUUUCAUCUCAUGAUCAUAAUGUCAGAAAGUAUUUAUGUACUGCGUACAACAUUUUAAAGCGAAAUUUGAGUACAAAUUAUUAAGUUGAAGUUUCAAUAACAUUCAAGUUUAAGUCUCAAUAUGGAAAGAAUUAUUAAAGUUAAGGGAUUAACUUGGAAAGUCAAGUUUAAGAGUUAAUUUGGACAAACCAAAAAGGUUCAAGCCUCAACGUAGGAAUAAUUAUCAAAUUAAAAGAUUAACUAGAAAAAAAAGUUCAACCCCAAUUUUUCAAUUUUAAAAUUGUUUCCAAAUUCAACCCUCAAUAAUGAUUUAAGACUUUUUAUUAUUAUAAAUAAUUAACUUAAAUAUGGGAUUUUCAAAUUGAUUUGAUUAUUCUAAUUUAAGUAAUUUGUGGGCAUUGGCAAAAUAUGUAAACCAAGCCCUUCAUAUGAACUCAAUAUGGUUUUCAUCGUUGGUUGAGAGUUUCAUUUCGUGACGUGAUAGUCGACAAUCGAGCUGAGGUUUCUUCUUUGCUUUAACAUAUAGACGGGGAGGCUUAUUUUAAGUAAUGAGAGUCAUUUUUUCUGUCAUAUAGAUUGUUACCUGCCUUCGAGGCUGUCUUGUUAUGGGCUUAGGUCCUCAACUACUUUCUCCACUUGUUUGUAAUUGGGUUUGUGGUCUUUAUGACCUUUCUUGUAAUCCUAUCUUUCUGUAGUAUGAAUAUUUGAUCUUUGACCAAAAAAUUGAUGAAAACAUAUACAUAUAUGUGUAUAUAUAUGGAUAUAGUAGUUUGUCAAGGUGAUGACUUAAGCAUAAACUAUUAUUGAAAUGGACAAAGGGACGAAAAAAUAUAGCUGAUUGCCCUACUGGUUUGGCCUUGGGCCGAUAUGUCGGGCCAUCGUGGAAAACUAGAUGCUCAUUGCCACCAUGGUUGCAAAGGAGUUGAAGGUAUAAUUAUAAAGGAUUAGUAUUUCUUUGCAUUUGUUAUUUACUUAUUUUAAACCCCUUUUUUUAGUCACUUGUUUAAUCAUUGUAGCCCAUUUUUCAUACAAUGCAACAUGGGAGUACACCAUUUGAUGCUCCUAGGAAAGUUGUUAUCCUAAAAAAAAUAGAAAGAUCCAUAAGCUUAAAAACCAAAAUGAAAAAUUAGCCAUUCUUUAGUUAUUGAGAAAGCAUAUAAUUAAUAUAUAUACUUAUUUCAUUUUAGUGUUAUACUAUAUGAUUUUUUUAAAUUUGUUCAGUCCAACUCGAUAUACAAUAAAAGUAAAUGUUUAGGUCAUGAUUUUAGUAUUAUACUACGAGUUUUUUCCCUUUUUUUUUUAUCAAAUGAGGUAAAGUUAAAAUGUUGAACACAAUGAUUUUAGAUUCAAAUAUAUAUAUAUAUAUAUAUUUAGAUUGUAUAUAUAAAUAUAAAAAGAUAAAAAUAUCCUAAAAAAAUAUUGGUUACUUUGUAAAAAUAACGAGUUUUUGAUAAUUCCACAAUUAAGUUGGGACUUGAUUGUAGGGCAAAGCUAGAAAUUAGCUUUGGGGUAAAGAUGAAUCAUAAAUAUUUUGGAGAGCCAAAGUGUAAACGUAUCAUUAUACUAGUAAUUUUUUAAAGUUUGAAGGGGUUACAAAAAAUUUACCCUUUUUGAAGGGGGCAAGUGGCCACUGCUUAAACACUUACAGCACGUUUGGUUCGCUGUAAUGGAAUAGAGGCGUAAUGGAAUAGAGGCGUAAUAGGUAAUUCUUUUGUUUGGUUGAAUGUAAUGGAAUAGAGGCGUAAUGGUAUUCUUAUGUUUGGUUGAAUGGAAUAGAGGUGUAAUAGCAUAAGGAAAAAAGUUAAAAUGACUAGAAUACCCUUAGCAGAAUUUUUUUAAAGUAGAUGAUUAUUGUUAUUGUUAUUAAAUUUUAAUAAGAUUAUUAAUAUAAAUAAUAAAUAAUUUAAUCAUAUUUUAACAUAAUUGUUAUAAAAUAUAAUUUAAUAAAAUAUAUAAUUUAAUAAAAUUGUUAAUAAAUAUUCUUAUAUAAAUUUACUAAUAAAAUCAUAAUAUAUAAUACUAAAAUAUAAUUUAAAAUAAUUAUUAUUAAAUAUAAUUUAAUAAUAAUAAAUAAUUAAAUAAAAUUCUUAUUCUUAUAUGAAUUUACUAAAAUCAUAAUAUAUAAUACUAUAAAAUAUAAUUUAAAUAAUUAUUAUUAAAUAUAAUUUAUAAUAUACUUUAUUAUUAUUAAACUGCAAUACAUAUUUAAUGUGCUAAAAUAUCAUUUGUGGAACAAAUAAGUUAAUUAUUCUACAAUAAAAAAAUAUUAGCAGUAAUAAAUAACUUUAGAAUUGUAUUUUGCAUAAACAUAAUAACAAUGAAUAUUAACAAAAGGUUAAAUGAGAUUCAUGAAAUUCUAUGUCACAAUCCAAAUGUUAUACAGUUUUGCCACAUCAAAAAGUUAUAUGACAUACCAUCCCAAAUAUUACAAACAGAAAAAGUUACGAAAAUGUCAUCAACAAAACCAUAAAUUUUAAUGGUUAGCAAGAAAUCUUCUGACCCAUUCCAACCGUACAUUAGAAGGUAAACUAAAGAAAACUACCAUUUGAGUUGGAUGAUCUGGAAUUUUAGUCAAUGCUUGAAACCGUUCAUCCACAGUUAAACCUUCUAUUUCACAUAAGAUUGGAUAUAAAUUUGCCGCUUUUUCUUGGAUGCCCUGGUGAACUACCACAUCGGAGGCAAUACUCCUACUAAUUUGUUCGCCAAUGGCCCGCAUGUUUUCAGCCAAUAAAGUGGCAGCAUCAGUAACUGAAGAAGAAAAAUGACCAGUUGCAUCAGAAUUCUUUUUUUUCCUCUUUGAAGAUGAGGAACCCCCUUGGUUUUUGUCUGUUUGCGGCUCCGUGGCAGAAACAUCCAUGUCAUCCAAAGAGACAUUAGCAUCGCAAUCAUAGUAUUCGUUUCUGUCUUCAUUAAUAUCUGCAGAAGGUACAUCCUCAGCAUUUAUUUCUUCAAGAACGUCAGCNNNNNNNNNNNNNNNNNNNNNNNNNNNNNNNNNNNNNNNNNNNNNNNNNNNNNNNNNNNNNNNNNNNNNNNNNNNNNNNNNNNNNNNNNNNNNNNNNNNNNNNNNNNNNNNNNNNNNNNNNNNNNNNNNNNNNNNNNNNNNNNNNNNNNNNNNNNNNNNNNNNNNNNNNNNNNNNNNNNNNNNNNNNNNNNNNNNNNNNNNNNNNNNNNNNNNNNNNNNNNNNNNNNNNNNNNNNNNNNNNNNNNNNNNNNNNNNNNNNNNNNNNNNNNNNNNNNNNNNNNNNNNNNNNNNNNNNNNNNNNNNNNNNNNNNNNNNNNNNNNNNNNNNNNNNNNNNNNNNNNNNNNNNNNNNNNNNNNNNNNNNNNNNNNNNNNNNNNNNNNNNNNNNNNNNNNNNNNNNNNNNNNNNNNNNNNNNNNNNNNNNNNNNNNNNNNNNNNNNNNNNNNNNNNNNNNNNNNNNNNNNNNNNNNNNNNNNNNNNNNNNNNCCCAUUUCCUUUUGGAUCCUCGAGAUGAUUGGGAAGGAACAUUUGAUUCCGAAACACCUGACAUAAUUAUCUUAAGAAAAAAACAAAUUAAAAUUAAGUUUAAUAUCAUGAAUCAAAAAGGUGAACACUUUAUAAAAUUAAAAUUGAGUUCAAUAUCAUGAAUAAAAAACUCAACACUGUAUUAAAUUAUAACACAUGAUGAAUGAAAAGAAAAUCAAAUUAUAUUUCAACAAGUUUGGUACAAUACAAAAAACUCAAAAACACCACCAAAGUUCACAAACUAGAUACAUAAAAUAACAUAAACAAAUGAACUCAAACUAAUUUUCUCCCUAAACCUAACUAGUUUCUAGAUGCUUGCCAUUCAUCGAACAUUUGGUUGGCUAGCUCCAUCCUCCAAGUAGCCCAAGCAUCCGAUGGAUGAAUAUUGACGAUAUUCGGUUCAUCGUCAUCUACCACAUUAGUAGGUAAUCCUUCUCCCACCUCCGCUUCAAUAGGAUCAAUACUCAUAUGGGUUCGAAUAAAAUUAUGGAGCAAACAACAUGCAAUAAUUAUCCUAUUGUGCACCCUCACAGGAUAGAAUGAUGGACUCCUAAGUAUUCCCCAUCUCAUUUUUAAUAACCCAAAGCAUCUUUCAAUAACAUUACGUGCUGAGGCAUGUUUCAUAUUAAAAAAUUCUUGCGGAGUACUUGGCUGAUAACCCUGACGCCAAUCAUUCAAAUGAUAACGUUGUCCUCUAAAAGGUGCAAGAAAUCCCUCACAAUUUGUGUAUCCAGCAUCAACUAGAUAAUAACAACCUAUAAAAAAAUUCUUAAUUAUUAAUUCCCCAAGAAAGUUUAAUCUUAAUGAAUAAUUCAAAGUCCUCUAACUAUCCACUUUACCGUGAGGAACUUUUAGUCCAUGCCUCCUACUAAUGGCAUCUCGAAGAACGCGGCAAACCUCUCAUUAAAAGAAAUACAUCACUUUUUUCACAAAACAUUACUAUGGAGUAAACCAUAAAAAAAACAGUCCAAUUUACUGGAAUUGCAACUAUAAAAUACCUCUUGAAAUGCAACUAGAGAUUCAGCUUGCCAACGAUUUAUGUCUCGAGCAAAUCGGUAGGUAACAGUCCAAUACCUACAAAGGAAUCACAGUCAAUCAGCCAAUCCACCUAGUGACAGACAGCCACAUUUUAAGCAAAAGAACGAGCCAAAGAACGAGCAAAAGAAAAUAAAUAACAAAUAACAAGGGCAUAAGCAUGCAAUUCAUUCAACAAUAUGAGGUCCAAUUUUUACAUGGAACGAAUUUAAGUACAGUUUUACAACUAAAUAGAAAUUGAUGAAGUAUACAUGGAUUUCAUAACAUAGACACGCCAAAGCACAUUGAUAUAUACCAAGCCACAAGCAGAAUAAAAUAAUAAGAAAGAGUUCGAGUGAGUUUNNNNNNNNNNNNNNNNNNNNNNNNNNNNNNNNNNNNNNNNNNNNNNNNNNNNNNNNNNNNNNNNNNNNNNNNNNNNNNNNNNNNNNNNNNNNNNNNNNNNAGCAAUAAUUAUUUGAAGGAAGAUCUUCCUACAUUUUAAGGAUGUUAUUAAUUAUUAUCUCACAUCGGUAUUAGAUUGAAUCAACUAUUACUAUAGUAUGGCAUUUAAAACUAUAUAUGCUAGUCUGUCUCAAUUGUAGUCUGUAAUUCAUAUUAGUAAAUUCAUAGUUAACAAGAAGGAAAGAAAUGUUAGAAGCUCUGAACAUUCGUUGUCACCAUUUUGCACCAAAAUAACCACACUAAAGCAGCUUAAACUGUAAUCAUCAGAAUGGCAUGUAAAUAUUUGUUCAGUAUUACUGAAGUAGAACUAAAGAAUCACAUGCAGUAAAUACACUUUAAUUAUAUUCAUAAUUAGAGAACAGAAAACAGCCUAAUCAAAGCUAAUAAUUUAAGCAGUGGUCAUUUGCUGCACUAAAGGACAAGUUAUUUUUGUCUCACUUCAAAUUAAAAUGCAAAUAGACCAUGAAAGGAAGAAGAUUCCUAUAACAUUUCAAACCACCGAAGACCUAUAACCAAAAUAUAUUAUACCCUCUAAGUUUAGAAAUCAGUAUGCCAGAGAAUAUUUAUCAUCAACUACAUGCACAUAUACAUAGACAUAAGGAAGCAACAAAAUCCAAUUGUUGCAUCUAAAAACUAAAAAAGAACAAUCUAAUCAUCUUCUUAUGAAAGAAUUAAGUUCACCUAUAGGAACCACACAAACUGAACAGUUUAUUAACUUUCUCAGAAAAAAACCUGGCUCAUUAACUUUCUCAGAAACCAAAUGGAAAAUAACUAAAUUUUAAGGAUAAAAAAUCUAUUUAAAAAAAGGUCAAAUUUUAUUUAAAAUAAAGGAAAUAUUCCACUUGACAAGCAUGGAGUGGAAAUAGUAAUCAUACAUUUCUCAUCGUUUUUCUCGUUUCUUUGAAACAAACAGAAACACUGAAAAGAAAGCUAGAAUUCAAGCAUAACACAAGAAACCUUUGAUGCCAAUUGAGCUUUUAAAAGUGAAUCAUGAUACUGCAGCAAUUGAGCUUUCCAAACAGAAACUCAAUGCUCCAAUAGCAGACAAAGAAAAAGCAAACAUACCUCUCAUUCUUGCCAAAUGAAAAUCGUGCACCAAAAUAGAAAGCAACUUGGUUGACAUUGCCAGUGAGAUUGACAUAGUUCAUAAGAUAAAUGAAACUAAAGAUCCAUACACAAUUUGGUUGAGAUCAUACAACUAUUCGAUAGCAUUACAACUCCAUACUGCACUGGAGUUACUAAGGGCCAAUUAACAGCCAAAAAUACAAUCCCAUUGCAGAAAACCGCUAAUAACAAUGCAUUCAGCUAAGGGUACGCAUGAGUAUAAUCAAGAUGCAAAUCACAUGAGAAAAAAAACAGAAUGAUAAUCCUUUAAUCAAAAUGUUCAACAAAGCCCUCAGAUCUCAUAGCUAUAUCCGUGUCAAUAAGAAGAUAAAUAUAAUUAUAGAUAGAAAGAAUAGAGAAAGAGAACAGGGAAGGAGGAGAGAGUUAUCGACAGGAACCAGAAAGGAUAGAGAAACAGAUGGUGAGGAAGAGGAAGAGGAGAAAGAAUUGAAAAACAGAUGAUGAUAGUAAAUGCUCUAAAGCGAAAAUUGGGCAAAAUCCAGUAAACCAAAUCAGUUCUAAAAAUAAACAACAUUCGGCCGGUGGGGAAUAAUUCGGUGGGGAAUAAACAAAUAAAAAAGAAAAUCAUGAGGGAAGAAAAUUAAAAAUCCGAGAUGAAAAAAAGAGAAGAACAACUUACCGAAACAGUUGGGCUGGAGAUCUGAGACGAUGGAGUGAAACGGGAGCGGCGAUUUCGGGAGGGACGGAGAGGGAGAGGGUGGAGGUGAUUUUGCAGAAACAGCUUCUGUUGAUGUUGGUCGAUUUCAGCGAUUUCGGAAGGGAGGGAGAGGGAGAGGCUGUAGGUCGAUUUUGGCGAGGGUAAAACAGAGAAGGUUUUCGGGAAUGCGUCCGUAAUAGGCUAAUCAGCGUUUUUGGAAGGGAAUGCAAAUCGGCCAGGAAGCGGAGAAUAUUGCGUUUACAUCCGUAACCGCAUAAGCCCGUAAUAGGGCUUUACAGUGAACCAAACGCAGGAAUGGGUGGGGCGCGCGUAAUAGAGGCGUAAUCGCAUACCCAACACGGUGAACCAAACAAGCUGUUAAAGUAUAAUAUAAAUUAAAGACAUGUUUAUUUACUUCUUUAUCAAGUAAAACCUUUUAUUUACGCCAUCAAAAGUAUAAAGUAAUGGUAUAAUCCUCUCACACUUUAACCUACUUAAAUUUUAUUUCUUAUUUGAUAUAAGUUGAAGAUAGAUUGAUUAAUACUUUUGAGGCCACCAUGAAAGGUUUAACCUUUGGUCAACAUUGGACGAUAGCAAUUAAUGAACAAAGACCAUUGACAAAGUCAAGUGAACUUGAUUUACAAUAUGGCUAUAUAUAGCUAUAGUUCUUUUGAUGAUAAGGUGAUUGAGGUUGGCCUGCGUCUUCAUUUGCUUACUCCAUAUUCGAAGUCUUUAUUUUCCUUUGGAUGGUUUUAAAUUUCCAACCCAUAAUAGGGGACGGAAUGAGAUGAUUCCAACAUUUCAAAACAAAAAAAUCUUAAAUUUCAUGUAAAUUAAUUUGAAAUUCACACAAUUUUUACUGAGUUAAUAAUGAGAUCUACUUGUUGAAUGAUUUUUAGGAAUAAGACGUAUAUAUAUAUAUUUUUUGUUUGAGUUUUUGAUGUCAUCUCUUAUUUUUUAAAAAAAAAAUGCCAUUUUGAAACAAAAGUAGAUAUCAACCACACAAAAGAUAUCAUUCAAUAAAAUGAUGAUGAGUCAUUUUUAUGCAUAAGAAAAUAUUUUAUUUUUAUUAAUAAAUGACAUUACUUUUUUUUGUUGUCUUCAAUUUUCAAUUGAGUCCACUUGACCUAGUAGAAAUAUGUUUUACAAACCCGGCCUUAAACUUUAAUUUGAAGCUCGGUUUUUGACCAUUCAAACACAAUUUUUAUCAAAAUUUAACUUUCAUUUGUCUAAACUAUACUGAUAAUUAUCCAAUUAUUAGUUUCUUUUUUGUCACUAGUCAUUAAAUAAUUAACGGAAAAAUAAUAUGACAACUUUUAAAAUGAGCAUAAUAACAACUUUAAUCCUUAAUAUUUAUACAAUAUGUCGAUUUAGUCUUGAUUCUAGAAAAUUUAUUCCUCAACAUUUACACUUUGUGUAAUUUGGUCUUUUUUUUUUUGAAGUUUUGUUUUGCUUUGCUUUGUGACCCUUUCACUUAAAAAGCUAAAAAAAAAAAAAACAAAUUUAUCAUCUAAAUUUGAUUAAAAAAAUACCAAAAAUAAAAAUACCAAAAAAUUUAAUAUAAUAAUUUUAAAAUUUCUCAUUAUUUUAAAAUUAACCCUCGACGUCACAAAGAAAAAGAAUUGCAAAAAGAGACUAAAUUAUGUAAGGUGUAAAUGUUGAGGGUUAAAUAUUUUAGUAUCAAGACUAAAUUAACACAAUGUUAAAUGUUUAGGGUUAAAGUUGCUAUCAUGCCAAUUUUAAAAGUUUGCAAGUUAUAUUCCCGAUAAUAAUUUAAAAACUAGUGACUAACAAAAGAUAAAGUUGAAUAAUUAAAUGACUAUUCAUAAUUGAAUAAUAAAAAAAUAUUUACUAAUAGUUCGGUGAGUAUAAAGUAAUUUACUUAAUUGAAAAUAUGUUUAUGUGAGGCAAACAUGCUUUAUAAACAAAAUAACAUGUACUUCAAACAUAAAUUGCUUAAAACUAGAUAUUUUGAUUGACUUGGAACUGAGUUCCAUCACUAACUUGACAAUUUUGUUCAACAUCCUCAAUUUCUUGCAUUUGCAAAGUGAGUUUAAGUCUUUUCGCUACAUCAUUCAUGGAAGGCCAUUCUCAACCAUUUUCACGAAUACAAUUUUCUGCAAUAUUAGAAAAUGUUCUUAAACAGCUGGGUGAAAUUUUACCUUUCAGCAAAGGAUCGAUGCUUUCAUUAAUACUCUCAUUUGCCACACAUUUUCGAACCCAAUAAGCUAAACUGAUCUGUGAAUAUUCUACUUCUGAAUCGACUGCCGCUCUAGCAAACAACACUUCGAAUAGCACCACUCCGAAAGAAUAGACAUCCAACUUCUCAGUCAAUCGUAAACGCUUGUAAUAUUCGGGGUCCAUGUAGCGGAAUGUACCUUUUACCACUGUUGUAAGUGGAACAUUUGUCAUGCUAAUUGGACUCAUUUUAGACAAGUCGAAACCAGAGAUUUUAGCUACAUAUUGCUCAUCCAGCAAAAUGUUGGUGCUCUUAACGUCCCGGUGAAUGAUUCGAUGAAUUGCUUCUGAAUGUAGGUAAUCUAAUCCAUAGGCUGCUCCGAUACAAAUUUUCAGUCUCUGUUUCCACGACAGGGGAUUCUUUUUCGUGUUGUAGAGAUGGUCACGGGGAAUUCCAUUUGCCAUGUACUCAUAGACAAGAAUCAUCUCGUUAUCGUCGCAGUAACCGAUUAGAGACACGAGAUUCACAUAUCGAAGCUGAGAAAGUAGUUGGAUUUCUGUCCAAAACUCUCGUGCUCCUUGUUGGGACAUGGAGUUCAAUCGCUUGAUUGCCACUUCAGAUUUUAUCCUUGAGAUGAAGCCCUUGUAGACGUUACCAAAUCUACUGUGCCCUAUGAUGAAAGCAUCGUCAAAGUCGUUGGUUGCUGCUUGGAUUUCUGCUAAUGUAAAACAUUGGCAUAGUUGGUCUGGCAAUGGUGAAGCUUUUCUUCUUUCCUUCGACUUUUGAAUUGAAAAAGAGUGGCAUUUUUUUGCCAGAAAAUCAUGGAAAGUAGAAGGUAAAACAAUACAGUAGUUGUGCAUCCCAAGAUAGCUCCAAUGGUAGUCUUCAUAGGAACCAGAUUCUCUUUCCCUUCUUCGAUUGCUUGUUCUCUGGUUUUAGUGAUGCAAGGCUCGAACUUGAUUCCGGAUUUGGCACUGCAAGACUACCGUCUAAUUUGUUGAGUCUAAAAAUCUCUAAACUGUUUAGGAUUGCAUUAGCAAACAUCGAACCAACCUCUUCGUUAGGGUGUAAUGCUAGCCAUAGAGUUUGCUUACUUGAAUCUUCACUUGGAAUCAACAAAACGUAAUCUCUGUACACCGAAAUGCCCUUACCGCCACUGCAAUAAAUCACAUCGGCAAGAGGCUCAGACGUUAUUGUUGAUGAAUAUGUCAAAGACACGUUGACCUGCUUCUGUAACUUCUAAUAGAGUCUCGCAGAAAUGGAGCCUAAGGAGGUAGUUGAAGCCACCAUCAAUAUCAAAGUUCCAUGUCAGAUUGUAAUUCAUAUUGAUGUAUGGAUCCCUACCCAUUGUUCUUGACGUGGUGUAGACAACAGCCGGAGCUGUAUAUGCCGGGGUGUCUUUGGAGUACUUGAUCGUAACAUUAAAUCGAACAGGAAUAAUUCCCCAUGCAUUUCCAAAGAUAUAAGGCGAAUCAUUAAGUCACGUUCGAAACAUUCCGGUAUCAUUGACGUUAGCCACGGUUGCUCUGCCAACUUUUAGAAGAUAAACAGUUUCAAAAGCAGUAGCAUCAGGGAUGUCAAAGGGAAUUUUACUAUUUACGAAAGAUACAGAGUUAUCUUGGUGUUUUACAUACAUGUUCUUUGACAUGGAAACAACUUCAAUACCGUUCACAAAGGCCAAAGAGUUGGGCGACGGCCAAAAAGUGACCUUCAGCUUCUCUGUUUUGAAACAUGGUACCAUAAACUCUUUGAUCAAUGAGGCUGCCUGGUUAUCCUCAGAAGAAAAGUUUAAAUAAGCACUGAAAUUUUGGAGGAGAAGGUGAUCAUUGCCUGUAACAUAGAAGAAAGAAGUGGAUCCAUCAAAGCAAGAGUAUUGGACCGGGUAGAAAUAUAAACGAAGAAACUUAAGGCAGGUGACACUAGAAAGCUAUAAGUGAAUGUCUCGUGAAAAACUCUAGCAAUCAUGUAAGGAAUUCAUAUAAUAGACUGGUCUUGCCUAGAGGCUGUGGAUGCAAAUGAAGUGUUCUUGGAAUUAAAGAUGGAAAAUUUGGAUCCUUCAUCGGUGAUCCGUUUCCGGCCUUCUUUCAAUAUAGAACCUGAUGAUGAAGAUGCACCACAGUUGAGGAGAAUAUAAUCAGUUGGUGUAUAGGCUGCUGAUUCGUCACCCAUGGCUAUAGUAUGGAGAACCAACAGGUAGACAUUAAAAGUGAGCAUUGCAUGGGACUCAGUUGAUUUCUUUUUGGAUAACUAAUUGAAUGUUGUAGGAAAAAACUAAAUUAACAAGCAAUUAUAGAGGGCUGGAGAGGCCAAGAAAAUUCAUUAAAUUCUAAUAAACCGUCAUACUUACUCAAGUCUUCUAAUAAAGGCUGCAACUGGCUUCUUUGGUCAUUGGCUCAUUGCACCAAUUUAAGCUUCAAUCUUGUACUAGACCUGUUCAUGUCCCAUACGUCUUAUUGCGGUAACUUAUGGAAACAAUAGUCUCUGCUAUUGUUAGUCCAUAAGUAGCAAUAAAAGGGAUGACUUUAAAAGAAAAAGAUAGUAGCCUAGGCUACGAGGAAUUAAUAAAACAACCCAAAGCGAAACGACAGUGAGUUGGUAAAAUAAAUAAAUGUUUGACUUUGAUUUUCAAAUAUAGGAUUGGUUACCCAUAAGGCCUUUAUUUAAUGACUGUUUGUGAUUUGGUUGACAAUCGAGUCUGCUUUGUUGGAUUGACAUUUGUUUGCUUCUAACUCUUUCAAAGUUUAUUAUUAAUAAUUUUCUUUAUAGAGGAAAAAAAAUAUUGAAUGGUAAAGUUAGAAAUUUUAAAAAUUUAAGGGUAAAUUGUAAAAAUAGUCACUUAUGUAUGCCUUUAGUUUUAUUUUAGUCACCUAAUUAAUAACUUUUUCGAUUUAGUUACUCAACUUUUUGAAAUCAAAUAUUUUAGUUACUCCCAUUAUUUUGGUCUUUUCUUUAUUAGCCUAAUAACAAAUUUAGCUCUCUAAUAAUUACAAAAUUUAUAAUUUUAGUUCUACUUGUAAAAAAUUUAAUAAAUUUAGUCUUUAGUAUUUACAAAAUGUCAAUUUAGUUCUAAUUCUUAUAGUUUAAAAAAAUUAAAAAAUGAUUUAAAAAUCUAAAGAAAUUAUAAAUAAAAAAAAAACUAAAGCAUAUGUAUUAAAAAAAAGUGAAAAACAUAUCAAAUGAUUUUAAAAAAGAAAUGAACACGAAAAAUAGUUGAUGAACAAAGUUAUCUCCCUUAGUUCAAUUCAGUUUGUAUUUCCAACUUGAUUUUUUACCCUUCAUGGAAGUGACAUCAGUUAAAAAUGAGCAUAAAAUGAAUGAUGUUAAAUACUAUUUAUAUUCAACAGGUUUUUGAGGUAUGUUAAGGAAUAUUAAAAAUAAUUUUUUUAAAAUAUUUUAAAAAAUAAAAUUAGAAUUAAAUAUAAGUAAUACAUUAGACAAAAAGAAAAACAUAGAUAUCACAUUUAAAAAAAAUAUCAAAUUCAGGUAUAGAGUAUUAAGAAAAGAAAAUUUAGUAUAGUCUAUAAAUUUUAAUAUUAUCUUGUUUACAUUGAAAUUUGUCUUCAUUAUUAGUGUGCUUUGCUUGCUACCAACUCAGGCAAUAAAAAAUUAAUUUCAGUUCAAAAAUUUCUAAGUCCAAUAGAAUGAUUCCAUUUAGCUACGAACCACUUAAAUUAACAUGAAUUAUAUUAAUGGAAUGAAUCCAUAUAAUUUUAGUAUAUUUUGAUUGAGUUGGGAUUAAGCUCUAUCACUAGCUUGACGUAUUUCUUCAGCAUCCUCAAAUUCUUGCAGUUGUAGAGCAAAUUCAAGUGUUCGGGCAACACCAUUCACAGAGGGUGCAUCUAUUUUCAUGGAUACAAUUUUCUGUAAUUUUGGCAAAUUUCUUAGACAGCUCGGUGAAAUUUUACCUUCUAGAAAAAAAAUCGAUGCUUUCAUUAAUACUCUCAUUUUCCACACAUUUCUGAGCCCAAUGAACUAAAUCGAUCUGGGAAUACUCUACUUUCGAAUUGACUGUCGGUCUAGUGAACCUACACUUCGAACAACACCACUACGAAAGAGUAGACAUCUGAUUUCUCCGUUAAUUGCAGACGCCUGUAAUAUUCAGGAUCCAUGUAGCCAAAAGUGCCCUUUACCACUGUUGUAAGUGGAACAUUUUCCAUGCUAAUUCGACUCAUUUUAGACAAGCCAAAAUCAGAGACUUCAGCCACAUAUUCCUCAUCCAGCAAAAUGUCAGUGCUCUUAACGUCUUAAUGAAAUGAUUCUGAGAAUUACUCCUGAAUGUAGGUAAUCUAAUCCACGAGUUGUGCCAAUGCAAAUUCUCAGUCUCAGCUUUCAGGACAGAGGAGUCCUUUCGGUGUUGCAUAGAUGAUGACAGAGAGUUCCAUUGUCCAUGUAAUCAUAAACAAGAAUAUUUUUAUUGUUAUCGUUGCAGUAGCCGAUCUAAGACACAAGAUUAGUAUGUCGAAGUAGGGAAAGCAAUUUGAUUUCUGUCCAAAACUCUCAUCCUCCUUGUUGGGACAUGGAGUUUAAUCACUUAAUUGUCACUUCAGAAUUUAUCUCAGUGAUGAAGCCCUUGUAGACAUUACCAAAUCCACCACGGCCUAUAAUGAAAGAAUCAUUGAAGUUGUUAGUUGCUGAACGAGUGAAGCACAAAUGAAGAAAGACAUUAAAAACCUAAAAGCAAACUAAAAAGAACUGGGAAGAUAAUAGAGAAAACAAAUCUUGUAUUUCAUUCAAAAGACUCUUGAUCUUAGCAAUAGAGAUGAGCCAUACUUAUACAAACUAACUGAUUUUUGAAUCAAAUACAACAACAGACUACCUAACUGAACUAACUAAUCUUUAACAGAAAACUAACAACUUACUGAAACCUUAGUUAUUGAUUACAAUCACUAACAUUCACCUACCUUGUUUAACCUAACUCUUGUACCCUUGCUGAAGAUGCAACACCAUGUUUGCUUCCGAAACGAGUAAAUGAUAGAGCUAACAAAGGUUUCGUGAAAACAUCAACAAUGAAAAAAAAUUAAGUCUAACUCAAUGUGUUUAAACUUAGAAUGCAACACAGGAUUGACUGCAACAACCAUUGUGCUAGAAAUAUCACAUCAAAGAGAAUUUUGGGAUUGACCCGUAUAAAUAACGAGAUAAUAAAAGUGGAGAAAACGAACACAAAUAUUUAUGUAAAAACCCUUAAAGAGGGAAAAACUACAGGCAAAGCAGACUUUAAUUUUUCACUAAAUGAGUAAACAAACGAAAGUACAAUAUGGAAAAAAAAUAAACCUAAAUGUACAACUUGUACAUUACCUAAAACCCUGAAUAAAAAGCUCAAAACUCCAUGUCGAAACCACUUUUUAUUUUGAAAAAUAGGGAUCGACUUUUGAAAAUAAAAUGAGAGUCGCCACCGAUCUUUUGUUAAGGUGUGACCGGUUUACCGUUAAAAACGAAUUUGGUCCACGAAAUUUUGAGAAAAUAGAUUCGGGAGUCGCUUACGCACGAGGAAGGGUUAGCACCCUCGUACGCCCAAGAUUGGUACCGAAUUAAUUGUUUGAUGUCUUAAUGUCAAAACUUUGAAAAGAUUUUAAAAUACGAUCCUUUGGUGAGAAAACUUGAAUCAACUAAAUUGAAUGAUAAGUCGCACUUAUUUCGCAGAAAUAAAUUGCCACACUCAGUGAGUUAGAAUGCAACAAUUCAAACGUCAAAAUUAAAUACGUCUUUUUAAUUCAAAAUUUAAAAUCAUGUAUUCUGAGAAGGUUAUUCGGUCAUUUAACGGGAAAUCAGAAUCCAGUAAGUUAGGGUUCAAUUUCUCGAAAUUCCUAAUCAUCAAACAUUGCCUUUAUUUUAAAAUUGAGAUAACAAAAUGUUGUAUCCAGUAAGUUAGGAUCCAACAUUUUGAAGUCUCAAAAGCUCUAUUUAAGAGUUGUAUGGUUUUACCAAAAUAAACACUGGGCUAUCCAAAUUUAUCGAGAAGAAUUGAAGCCCAGUAAGUUAGGGCACAAUUCUCUCGAGAGCUAUGAUCGCCAGGUCCUUUUGAAAAUUAUGAAAAAAUGAUUUUGGUGCUUUAUUGAAACACCAUUUUUACAAAUGUAACAUGAUUGAAUGGUAAUAUACAAAGUAACUGGAUAGUUUGGAAAUAGAAUGUACACUAAUGAAUAACAAAAACCAAAUAACAAAUACAAACAAACAUGUCAACAAAAAUUUUACGUAAAUAUCAACAUUGACUAAUAAGAGGGGACUAACUAAAAACAAGCGAAUAAGUACAAUUAAAGUAUAUCAGUUCAAAAUAUAAUUUAAGAAACAAAUGGUAUGAAAAUAGGUAAAUUGUAAUUAAUAAAUUAUAUGAACAAAAAUUUAAAAUGAAUAACACGUAGAAAAGUUUGAAAUAGAUUAAGAAAUAAAUUUUACAUGAAUUGUAAUAUGCCAACGAAUUCUAAAAUAAGUAUAGUAUGAGCAGAAAAUUGAAAUUUAAUAUACAAAGCAAUACAUAUAAUGAUUUAGAUAAAUAAUACGUAUUAAAUGAAGAACUUAAUAAUAGUAAUAAUAAUAAUAAUGAUAAUAUAUAUAUGAUAACAAUACAAAAGGGUUGAAAUAACAAAACAUGUAAGUAAGUUUUAAAAAAAAAAUGAAUUAUAAAAGUGACUUAUUUAAGAGAAAGCUAAAAGAUAAUAAUUAUAAUAAUUGGAAAUCAAUAAUAUAUUCAUAAAAUAAAAUAAGAAAGGAAGAUUACGUAUGUAUUCUCUAAUAUAGUACAAAAAUAUGAUUGCAAUUUUUAGAAUAUAAGAAUAUAAAAGAGAAUUUAAAAAUAAAGAUUAUAAAAAUUAUAAAAAAUAUACAAAUCAUGUUAAGUUACUCAUAAAAAUAAAUGUUGAAUUUAAGUAGUAAUAUAUGAAAACUUAGGGUUAUAGUAUAUAAUAAAUUUAAAACCAAUCACAAAAUGAAUAUAAAUAAUAUUAAUGAUUUUGAUGAUAACAAAAAAAUAUUAAGCUCAACCACAUAGAAAUAUGAGAUUUAAAAUUAAGUGCAUAAAAAAUGAAAUAAUAUACAUCCAAUCGAAUAAAAAUAAACUAUAAACUAAAAUAAAGAAGAUUAAAUUGGAUUUAAAACUAGAAUGGAGGGAAAAUUUGUAAAUAAAAUAGAAUAAAGGAUCCGAUUACAAAUCGUGAAUAACUUAGAGGGAUUGAAUGAAGAAAUGUCCCUACCCACUGCAACGCGUUAAACUAACUAGGAUCAAAUUAGAAACCAGAUAAAAGUUGCAGUAUCAAUUACAGAAAAAGAUAAAAGAAAUAAAAAAUAAUCACAGAUUCAGAGGGAUUUAAUGCGCAAAUAGACCAAACGCCCAAAGUGCGCGGAUCCUUCCCUCGGGUCGAGUCACCGCGCGGGUCAUGGUCACUGGACGGCCCAAACAGUACCGUUUCGAAGCUAUGGGAACCUGCCUCGAACGACGUCGUUUUAUACGCCCACCUAAACGCCUUAAAACCUGAAGCACAAUGCUUCAGCCCUAAAUUCGGACUAGGGAGGCCGCCCCUACCCUCUCUACUACUAGGAUUUCAACCUUAGUUUCGCGCCGCCGAAAGCUUCUCCAAUAUCCAGCCUCACAGCUUUAGCCUGAGCUUCGAUUGCGACGAAGUGAGCAAGGUUUCAAUCGGCGCUACGCUAAGGUGAAUCCUUUCCCUUUUUCUCUCUAUUUACAAAAAUCAAUAGUAAUAAACACGCAUCGAUGGAACAGAGAAGAAAAAAAAGCAGAAAAACAAUCACCUUCAAGAAAAUUUUGAUCUUUUUUUGUAUUGAUUCUCUGAAUAUUUUUUUGAUUUUUUCGCUCAAUAUCAUGUGUAUGCAUACCCUGUUACAGUGUUUGUAUUGGCUUUUUAUAGCCAAAAUUACAGAAUAAAAAUAAAAAUGAAAUGCCUCCGCCCCAAAAUCCCCUCUGUUAUCCCCCUUUUUUGUCAUUUUCUUUGCUGCUCUUGUGUGUGUGUAUUUGCAGGUACUCGGCCAGCCUGGAGGGAUGACGUGCAUGGCGCGUGCGGAGGGACAGUGACUGCUGGCACACGCGCGCAGACGAAACUGGUUUUCUCGUGUUGAAGGCUAGGGUUUCAAUUUGAAUCGGGCCAUGUAAACUGGGUUGGGGUAUUUAGGCUUCAAUCUGAGUUCGACCCAUUGUAAUUGGAUUGAUAGACUUUUAAUUUUUUUGAUUUGGUUUAUAUAUCUGUGCUUUUGGGCCCGGGCAAAUUGGGCCUAUUACACUCCAAAUAGCAAUUUGGUAAACAAAACCCUAAAUCUUAUAAGACACUUACAAAAGGGGUAUAAAAUACUCUCCAUAAUUACUACGAAACUCUCACCAAAACUCAUAUGUGGUUACAUCUUGUUGCCUACAAAGAAAAGCCAUUUUUCUGGUCAUACUAAAAUAUUUCUAAAAUAAUCAGAAUUUAAUUGGAAAAAUAUAGCAGAUUUUAAUUGGGAGAAGAACACGACACACACCCCACAGAGUAAUUUUGUCCUCAAGUGGAACUUGUAACUCACUUAGCUAUGACUCCAACCAAAUUAUAUUAACAAUGGCAUAUGUCAUGCUACGAUAUUUGGCAUUAGCAGUUGAUCUGGAAACAACUUGUUGUUUCUUGGCACACCACGACACUGCAAUGCCACAAAAAAAGAAGCAAUAACCUAUGUGGCAUGUGCACAACUAUAUAAAAUCCAAUAAUUUAGUAUACGCCUAGAAAAUACUGAAUUUGUAGUUUUAAUACCACUAAACGUAACAUCCUAACUUAAUCCAUCAUCAACCUUGGUUAGAUAAUGUUACAUUCAAUGCCUAGGGCAUCCCUAGUGACUUACUUGGUGAUCAUACUUGAGAAUUUAAUUCCCUUGACCCCACUAUGAUGUAAAUUACGGCAGUAAAAAUUUAGGGUGUUACAAAGUUACUAGUUCGACAUGUAGAUGUGCCUUUAGUAACAAUGAUUAAUGGUUGAGGAAAUAAUAUGCUUUUUUUUUGUUGUUGGCAAGUUACAAUUGAUUCAAGUUGCCCUUUACAAUGAGCAAAGUUUCUGGUGCAAGGAUUUUGUUCUUCUUUAACCUGUUCUUAGGAAAAAUUAAGGUUUUUUUUGGAAGAAAAGGAAUAAGUAGGCAAAAUGUACGAGAGUCAGUUGGUCUACUAUUUGUGAAGGUUGAUUAGGUUUGUAGCAACUAUAGGGUUGGAAUAAAGCAAGAAUGAUGCAACAUCUUUGGACAGUGUUGAUGCAGGUAAGGUCCUUGUGGGUGGCUUGGUUCAUGCCUAUAUAUGCUGAAAGGUGGGCCUUUAAUGCAUUUGCAAAUUUCUUCUAACAGAGAUUAGAGUUAGAGGAAAUUAAUGAAAUUAAGAAGCUUAGUUACUCCUCUGAUUUAGUCAAGUAUUCAGGUUACAAGAUGUAAAUACAUUGUUGGGAAGGCAUGGAAUGGAAGUAGGGAUAGACCAGAUAAUGUACUUUGGCAUAGGUUGAUUUGGUUCCUUUUCUAUUUUCUUAAACAUUUUUUAAUUGGUUGGAUGGCAAUUCUAUGCCAACAAAGGAUGAAUUGAUUAAAAGAUUAGUGAGUAUCCAUUUUUGAUAUACCCACGAUAUUGAUGAAAAAAAACAUAAUCUAAAAACUAUAUUUAUGUAAAAAAUUAAUUAACAAUUGAGUUAUAGGUAAAUUGAAAAAUUGCUUAUCAAUAAAUCCUUCUUAGGCUUGGGCUCAAUAUUUAGAUGUUGCAUUUUUAGUUGUUUUAUUUAAACAUUUCAUAUUAGUUAGGAUUUUAAGUUAUUAAUUGUUUAAAAUGUCAAUUGAAAAUGAAUGUGCUAGACUACAGUGGUCGCUACAAUUUGACAAUGUGAAAACUAAGUAAACAAAAUAAAAAAGAAUACUAAAGUUUGUUUACGCAGUUCGGUUUCUCUAUGUUUGUAGAGUGUAGCUCAGUAAGUAAUUCUAUUAUCUUUAAUCACUAAUACAACAACUGAAUCACACCUUAUCACUCUCAAAAUAUAGAGAUAUCACAUUUGUACCUAAAGGGCAGAACACUUAAUUUAGAUUGUAAGUACCUAAGGUUUACAAUUCAAUUACACUUAAUAAUAAGUUUCUCAAUGAACAAAAACAAAGUAAUCUCGAUAUGUUGUCAUACAUAAUCUAUACAAGCUUCAAUAUAUAUAUUAAGUUAAGAUUAAUAGCAUACUAGUGAUUGAAUACAAGAUAACUCCUUAAAUUCAGUAGCUACAAAAUAGUAAAGAUAAUAUACUACUAAAGCCCAAUAAAUCACAAUUUGAUAGAUAUAUAGUUUUCUAUUAAAACAACAAUUUGAUCCACAAAAAUCUCCACAAUUCAAAGAUUGUAUUGAUUCAAUCUAAUCUAAUCCAAUUUUCAAAGGCAAUGGAUUGAUUGCCAAAGAUGGGUUUUCGUAUUUUCAAAGUAUUUACACAACUAUGACAAGUUUUACUUCAUGUCUUGCCUCAACAAUAUUAAAAUAGUAAAUAUUAUAUUAACAUUCAAUCUUUUAUUAAAUAAAACUUUUAAGUAAUUUCUAUGAUUGAGUUUCACAUGUAAUAUUAAUUCAAUCAAAUAAAUUUUAAUAAUAUAGAUUAAUUAGAUAUCUCUAAACAAAACAAACAUAUUUUAUAAACAAAGUAGUACUUCAACACACAAACAUACAAACAUAUUUUAAAAACAAAGUGGCAUUUGAACACAUUUUAACCCAAUUUCUAUAUAUUACUUUUACGUCCAUCAACUCCUUUCAAUUUAGAGUACAUCUCAAAAAUUGCUAAAUGUAAUAAUCUUUUUACAUAAUUCCAUAUAUUGGACAUUUACAUCUGAUAUAGCUAGUGAUCUUGAUUAACUUGGGACUGGGCUCCAUCACUAACUUGACCUAUUUGUUCAGAAUCCCCAAUUUCUUGCAGUUGCAGAGCAAAUUCAAGUUUUCGAGCUACAACAUACAUGGAGGGCCUUUGGCAACCAUUUUCACGAAUACAAUUUUCUACAAUUUUGACAUAUGUUCAUAAACAGUUGAGUGAAAUUUUACCUUUCAGAAAAGGGUCGAUGCUUUCAUCAAUACUCUCAUUCCUAAUACACUUCCGUGCCCAAUUGGCUAAACUAAUCUGCGAAUAUUCUAAUUUUGAAUCUACUGUCGGUCUAGUGAACAACACUUUGAAUAGUACCGCUCUAAAAGAGUAAACAUUUGAUUUCUCAGUUAAUUGUUGGCGCCUGUAGUAUUUAGGAUCAAUGUAGCCAAAAGUGCCUUUCACCAUGGUUCUAAUUGGAUCAUUUGUCAUGCUACUUGGACUCAUUUUAAACAAGCCAAAAUCAGAUAUUUUGACUACAUAUUCCUCAUCUAGCAAAAUGUUAGUGCUCUUAAUGUCCUGAUGAAUGACUCUAUGAACUGCUCCUAAAUGAAGGUAAUCUAAUCCACGGGCUGCACUGAUACAAAUUUCCAAUAUUUGUUUCUAGGUGAGAAGAGCUUUUUUAAUGUUAUAGAGAUGAUCAGGAAGAGUUCCAUUGGUCAUAAACUCAUAGACAAUAAUCUUUUCAUUGUUUAUUGCAAUAGCGAUAAGAGAGACGAGAUUAACAUAUCGAAGCUAAGAAAGUAGUUGGAUUUCUGUCCAAAACUCUCGUGCUCAUUGUUGGGACUGUGACUUGAAUCGCUUGAUUGCCAUUUCACAUUUUAUUCCCUUGAUGAAGCCCUUAUAGACAUUACCAAAUUUGUUGCUUCUUAUAACGAAAGCAUGGUCGAAGUUGUUAGUUGUUGCUUGGAUUUCAGCCAAUGUAAAACACUUGCAUAGUUGGUCUGGUAAUGGUGAAGCUUUUCUUCGUUCCAUUGAUUUUUUUCUAUAAUAAUAACGACGACUUUUUCACCAGAAAAUCAAGAAAAAUAGAAGGGAAAGUGAUAUGGUUAUUGUGCAGCCUAGGGAAACUCCAAUGACGAUAUUCAUUGACAACUUUUUACCUUUCUUUGGUUGCUUGUUCUCUGGUUUUAGUGAUACAAGGCUCGAACUCGAUUUUGGAUUUGGCAUUGCAAGACUACCAUUUGAUUUUUUUAGUCUAAAAAUCUCUAAAUUGUUUAGGAUUGCAUCAACAAACUUCGAACCAACCUCUUCGCUAAGGUGUAAUGCUAGACAUGGAGUUUGCUUACUUGAACCCUCACUUGGAAUUAACAUAACGUAAUCUCUGUACAUUGGAAUGCCAUUACCGCUACUCCAGUAAAUCACAUCCGUAUGAAGCUUUGCCGUUUGAUUGUUGAUUAAUAUGUCAAAGACACGUUGGCUUGCCUAUGUAACUUGUAAUUGAGUCUCGUAGAAAUGGAGCCUAAGGAGGUAGUUGAAGCCGCCAUCAAUAUAGAAGUUCCAUGUCAGAUUGUAGUUCAUAUUGAUAUUUGGUUCCAGACCCAUUGUUCUUGACGUGGUGUAGACAACAACCGGAGUUGUAUAUGCUAGGGUUUCUUUGGUGUAAUUGAUCGUAACAUUAAAUCGAGAAGGAACAAUUCCUAAUGCACCUCAAAAGAUAUAAGAUGAGUCGUCAUGCCACGUUUGAAACAUUCUAGUAUCAUCGGCGUUAGCCACGGUUGCUCUUCCAACGUUUAGACAAUAAACAGUUUCCAAAAGCAGUAGCAUCAAGAAUGCUAAAGGGAAUUUUACUAUUUACGAAAGAUAUAGAUUUAUCUUGGUGUUUUAUAUACAUGUUCUUUGGCAUGGAAACAACUUUAAUACCGUUUACAAAAGCCAAAGAGUUUGGCGAUGGCGAAAGGGUAACACUCAGCUUCUCGAUUUCGAAACAUGGUACCAUAAACUCUUUACUCAAUGAGGUUGGUUGACCAUCUAUGGUAGACAGUGUUAAAUAGGCACUGAAAUUUUUUCCAUAGACCGAAAUCAAGUUAAACUACACAUAAUUUUGUAGGUUAAUUUUGAUUUCUAUUUGUCUAAGAAAAAUAUAUUUAAAAAGGUAGUCGAAUUCCGAAUUCUAGGGACCCCAAUUCCACUUUUAAUAGCUCAAUUUUACUUUGUUAAAGUAGACCUUCCAUGCGUCGUAUUUGGGAAAUAGAAGGGUAUUUCUAGUUGGUUAAAAUGGAAUGUUAAGGAAUAGAACUAUUAUAAUAGUUAAUAGUUAACAGUUAGCAGUUAACAAUGGCAAUUAAGGUGGUUGUAAUUAGUUUGACAGAUUGUGUAUAUAUACCAUAGCUUGUUAUCCAGUUUAAUAUAUAAAAAGUUGAUCGUUUAUGAUCAUCAUAGAUUACAUUCGUGUAUCUCAUUAUGGUAUCUGAGCCUUAGUCAAUUUUUUUCUUUGUAUUUCUUCCAUGGCAACAGAAGUUGUCUCUAGCAAUGAUGACUAGAAUCAUCAGUUAAUCAACACAGCUGCUCCAACAAGUGGUUCUUCUCCCGAUAUUGGUAAUGGUUUUUUGAGAAAGAUUCAGCAAUUUCCUAAGCAUGACACUAUGAAACUCGGAGGACAUAAUUUUCUUUUAUGGAAACAAUAGUUUUAUGUUAAUUCUUAAGGGGUAUGAGCUGCAUGACUUUGUUCUUGGAACUAUUAAUGUUCCUCCGCAGUCUAUCAUUGAUAGAGAUGGUAAUCUUGUUGCUAAUCUUGAGUUCUUGUUUCCUAAGCAACAAGACAAGUUGUUAGCUUCCUGGUUGUUAUUCACCAUUUGUGAUGCUAUCUUGGUACAUCUCAUUGGUGCCCGAUCAAGUUUUAAUGUGUGGAGCACUGUUGUGCGACGCUUUACUUCUAAGUCUACUCUGACAGUCUCUACUCUAAGACAUUCAUUAUAUUUUCAGAACAAAGGUCAGUUAACUAUUAAAGAAUACUUGGCCAAGAUUAAAAGCCUGUGUGACACUCUAAUGGUUGGAGGUAAUGUUAUUUCUGAGCAAGAACAGAUUAGCAUUAUUCUUGCUGGUCUGCCAGUGGAGUAUGAGUCGAUUCAAAUUAUGGCUUUUGCAAUGUGUGUUCCUCUUAAUCUUCUUGCUGAAAUGCUCAUUGAUUGUGAAGCUCGACAACAAGAUUGUGAAGCUCAGUAAUGUGGUAACAAUGAUAACAACACAAGGCGGUUUGAUAGAGGCUCUAGGCCACCCUACAGGGGUAGUGGUAGGACAUCUUGAGGCAAAGGUUGAGGAAGAAAGUUUGUCCAUAAUAAACCUUAGUGCCAGCUAUGUGGAAGGAUUGGUCAUAUUGAAUAGAAGUGUUAUUAUCGAUUUGAUGAGUUUUCUGAAGGGGUUUCUGAUCAGUCAAUGUAGGUGCAUUGUCAUCAGUUCCAAUAUCCUUUCCUAAGGUCCUCCAGUUCCAUUGAGAUAGCUACGGGAUGAGAUAGGUAAAUUCUUUACUAGGCUGGAGUUUUCCUCCAUGUAAAAACCUUCUGGUCUCUUUGAGAUUUGAUAUAGAGUUCCCAUUGAGUGGGACUGACCCAGAAGAACCACAUCUGUCUCAAGCCGACUCGACCUUCUUACAUCUCAAAUUUUCUUUCCCUAGAAUAAAGAUCUAGUGCGCCUAUAUUUCAUUUGACAUGUGGUGGUUCUCACUAUUGUUCCCAAAGAGGUAAUGUGAAAGGUUCUGGCUUGCAAUCUAAUGUAGUCUCCACAAAAAGGCAGUUUCCCUCAAGUCUCUUGAAUGCAAAAGUAUGGUAUCCAGACUCAGGUGCAUCUAAUCAUGUUACCAAUUAUUUGGACAAGUUGCAAGAGGCAGCACAGUAUACAUGUAACAACAAACUUUUCGUGGGGAAUGGUGUAUCAGUACCAGUGGCUCAUAUUGGCUCAAGCUUCUUUACAAAUGAAAGUAGAGUUUUUCAUUUGAAAUUUUUUUUGCAUGUUCCUAGAAUUUACAAAAACUUAAUGUCUGUUGCAUAAUUUGUAAAAGAUAAUCAAGUUUAUUUUGAAUUUCAUCCUUUCUAUUACUUUGUGAAGGAUAUCAAGACAUGAAACAUCUUGUUGGUGGGCCACAUUUAUGAUGGUCUAUACUAGUUUGAUCUAUCAGACUCUUAAAGGUUCAAGACUGCUUCUCCUUCUCCAGCCACUACUCAUGCUACUCAUUUAAGGUCUCCUAUUUCUAGUAGUUCCAUUUUUUAUUUGUGGCACAAACGACUUGGUCACCAUUGUAAUAAAACUGUCACUACAGUUCUUCGAAAGUGUAAUGUUGUUUCAAACAGUUGUAAGUUGAGUUCAGUCUGUUCAGAAUGUUAACUUGGAAAGUUUCAUAAACUUCCUUUUUCUCCCUCUACUACUCUGUAUUCAGCUCAUUUUGAACUCAUUGUUUCUGAUCUAUGGAGGCCUGCUUCUGUGGAAUUUGAAGGUCAUUUUUACUAAGUCUCCUUUGUUGAUGCAUACUCUAGGUACACUAUGUUGUUUCUCAUAAAACGCAAGUCUGAGGCCCUUUAAAAAUUUCUUCAUCUACAGAAGUUUGUUGCUAUUCAAUUUGGGUGUUAAAUAAAGGUUCUUCAAACUGAUUGGGGUGGAGAAUUUCGUUUUUUUCAAAAAGUACUCUUUCAGUUGGGGAUUCACCAUCUACUUUCUGGCCCUCAUACUUCUGAGAAAAAUGAAUUGGUGGAAAGGAAACACAUGCAUAUAGUUGAUACUAGUAUGGCAUUGUUAGCUCAAGCUAGUGUGCCUAUGCAUCUUUGGGCUCAUGCAUUCUUCAGCGCUGUCUAUCUCAUUAACAAACAUCCCACACCUGUUCUCAAUAGGCGGUCUCCUUAUGAAAUGUUGUAUAAAAUUUUGCCUAACUACAUGCACUUGAAAGUUUUUGGCUGUAGGUGCUAUCCAUAUCUCAGACUCUUUAAUACUCAUAAGCUGCAAUAUCGCUCCAAGACUUGUGUGUUCCUUGGCUAUAGUCUUGUUCACAAAUGGUGAAAAUGUCUUGAUGAUACUAGUUAGCUGUUUGUCUCUAGGCAUGUGGUGUUUGAUGAAGAAUGCUUUUCUUUUGCUACUCCUACUAGCUCAGGUAGUGUUUUGCCUCUUCUUGGAUUCAGCCUCAGUUCCAAUAUCAGCAGUCUUAGGUUCCAGUUGUGGUAUCUCUUUUGUAACAGUUUGGCUUUGGUGCUCCACCUAUGCCUAUUUCUUCAAUUCGACUGGAUUUAGCAGCCAUGUCAGGGUCUACUCUUCCAAGUCUUAUUCCUUUGGAGCCCACUGAUCUGUAGUUAAGGCUAGCUAUUGACAUCUCACUAGGAAAUACAUAUAGUAAUAGUAGGUCUGCUCAUUCUACUCCUCCUCCAACCUCAUUUCAUCCUGUUGAAGCUUCUUUAAUGAACUCACGAUUGGCUUCUAGUAGUAAUCUGAUUGUUGAGGAAUUGUUUGAUCCUCCUGUCAAUUCUCAUCCCAUACAAACCAGGUCUAAAAGUGGCAUUUUUAAACCCAAUGUGUUAUUAGCUGAGUUAGGUGUAACUGAGCCUGUCACAAUUGAGGAGGCUUUUGCUAGUAAAGAGUGGGCACUGGCAGCUCAGCAAGAAUAUGAUGCUCUGCUGAAAAACAAGACAUGAGACUUAGUUCCCUUGCCUACAAAUAGGAGAGCUAUAGGAUGCAAGUGGGUGUUCAAACUUAAACACCAUUCAGAUGGUACUAUUGCUCGAUACAAGGGUCGUCUGGUAGUUAAAGGAUAUCUUCAAGAAGCAGGAAUUGAUUUCCAAGAAACAUUCAGCCCAGUUGUAAAACCAACAACAAUUCGGGUUGUUUUAACAUUGGCUGUGAAGUUUGGAUGUCAACUAAGGCAAGUUGAUAUCAAAAACGCGUUUUCUUAAUGGUGACUUGUCUGAGGAGAUUUAUAUGGUUCAACCUCCGGGUUUUGAGCAGAAGCAUGGUGAACAAACUUGUCACCAUAGCUUGACAGAUUGUGUAUUUAUACCAUAGCUUGUCAUCUAGUUCAAUAUAUGAAAAGUUGAUCGUUUAUAAUCAUCAUAGAUUACAUCUGUGUAUCUCAUUUUGGAAUAAAUGUGAAAUGGAUUAGUUAUUUUAAGAAAUAAAAAGUAUCUAAAGUGAAAUACGAAUUUAUAAUAUUCUAUUUAACAAAUUUUAUUCUAUAAAGACAUCAUCGCAUCUAAAAAUAUUUGGUAAGAUUUUCGAUGAUAAAAGAUGAUUGGGACUUGCUUACUUAGAUUUUCAAAAGGAUACAAAUUAAAAAAAUUAAAGUGGUUGAAAGUAUUAUUAAAGUUUUUGUAUUAAGAGUCAGAUUAUAUUUUAUUAUUUUUAUUAAAAAAUAAAUAAAUUAAUCUCUGUAUAUAUUAAAGAGUAAAUUGAUCUUUUUAGUUAAAAAAAAUCAUUUAUUUGCACUAUUAAAACUUGCAUGUCUGAUUAAAUAAUUAAACACGUAGCGUUACACAUGCACUUUAUAUUGUCAUGUAAUAAUUAAUUUUUAACAAUAAAAAUAGAUAAAAAUUUUAACAGAAUGAACAAUUUACCCUUUAAUCUAACUUAUAUAAAAUAAUUUGUUUAUUUUUAAAUAAAAAAGUUAAAACAUAAUUUGACUCUCAAUAUAAGAAUAUCUUAUGAUGCAUUUAUCGGAUUUUAACUCGACUAAAACGAGGUAAAUCAGCAAGACAAAUCUGCCAGUUAUGACAAUGGUAAGCGCCGAUUUGGUAACAUAUACCUUGAAUAUUACAGGCGUUAUUUACGAGAUUACACCAUUAAAAGUGACUGAAACUAAUUUCCAUAAAAAAUUUAGGGAUAAAAUUCCAAAUCAAUCUGUCUUCCAAGUUAUUGAGCCUAUUUUGCCUUUUUUUUCUUCUGACACAUAGAAUAGACCAUCUCCUUGACAACUACAAUGUUUAUUUAUAUGCUAAUUUGUUCAUAAAGCAUGCUUAUUUUACUUAAAAAUCGAUUAGAGAUAUUUUACAGAUUUAACAUCUAUAAUUUGAGUUGGACUUUGAUAAAAAUUUAGGUGUAUUUUUCAAACCGAACUUGAGUCUAUCAAUUGAUCCUAAAAUUUUAAUAGGGCCCGGCCUGGUUCAUAGACAGUUCUAAACUAGAUAAGUGAAGAAAUAAUCUACAAUGAACCAAUUACAAAAUUAGGUAACAUCAAAGAAACUUCAUUCCAUGUCAGAUAAUUCAAUAAGAUGAUGAUCCAAAAAAAUUAGAUCAAAUGAAUAAAUUUAAAAAAAAAGGACAUAAAUAUACGUUUUGAAUCUUUUGUUAUUUUUUUUAUAAAAUUAAUCCUAUAUAAAAAAGAAAGUUUGGGAAUCAAAUAAGAGGAACCACAAUAAAACUUUUGGUUUGGCCCAAUCCAGUCUAAUUUCGAUUUGGGUUCAACAAAAAUAUUGUUUGGUGAAAAUUUCGAUUUGUAGGAAAGAUUUAUGAAUGAGUGAAUAUUUGAUUAAAGAUUUUUAGUGUGGUAUUUAAAUUUUGAUGGUUUAAGUUCUAAGUUUUAUGUGUUAAUUUUGUGCAGGUUUUCUUUAGUUUAAGUUGAAUUAGUAGCUAAAUUAGUUAUUAAUUAAAUGUUUGUAAUGAUUAAUUUUAAUUAAAAUUAUUGUUAUAAUUGUAACUUAGUUUUAAUUUGAAACAUUUUUAAUCUAAAAUCUUAGUCCCUAGUUCAUUUUCAACUCGUAUAUUAUGGUUUUUCUAUUAAAAACUAUCAAGUAAAUACGAACUCUAAAAUAAUUAAUUUUUAUAAACUGUAAAUUAAUAAAAUCUAUUUUAAAUCAAUGUUACAAUUUUGAAGUAUGACAAAAAAUUUCAAUGGUUUAAAAAAUAAAUAUGAAAAGUAAUUUAUGAUUAACAAAAUUAGAAUAAUUUGUGUAAAUAUAAAAUUUUAAAUUUGAUUUUGCAAAUAAGGCGUCUUACCUCAAAAUUGAAAUUAAAUUAAUGCAAUGACCAAAGAAGUCAAUUACAGUCAACACAGUAAACAUAAAUAAUACUAUCAAAACAUCAAAUUUUCUUGGUCUCACCACCUCUGUAAUUGCCUACAAGUGUACAACCAUUAAAUCAAGCACCCAAAAAAGGAAAUCCAUUCAGUCCCAUGCAAUGAUCCAUUUUAUUGUCUACCUGUUGAUUCACCACCCUAUACACCAACUCAUUAUAUUCGAACGAUCCAAAUUUUCUACCAACUGCUCUGCCGCUCCUCAACCAUCCCUGCAGAGAAGAACAAACACGCAACAAACAGUAGAAAAGUAGUAAAAAAAUAAUAUGUAAUAUCGGCUAUAAAAAGCCUAAGAAACAAAUUGUAAACGGGGGGUUGAUUUGAAAAAAAAAAGAGAAGAGAAAUCAAACAGAAACUUUAAGGUGAUUUUUCUUUUUAUUUUUUUGAACUUUUAUAUACAAAAUAUAAAAAAAACGAAUAAAAAGAUAAGAAUCGAAACUUUUUUACCUUUUCGGUCAGUAGUCUUUAGAUUUAGGCUCGGGAAGCUGAAAGGCCAAAAAAGGAAAACAUUUACGUUUCCCGGCAUCAGUGGAUGGUGGCGCUGUUGCCGAUGACCGACGGCUGCCACGAUGGCCCGAUAGCCGGAUGUGCAGGGGCUGGAGAGAAAAAAAUUGGGGGUGUGUAGUUUUUUUUUUUAAAUGUUGUGAAAUGAAUUUUUUUUAGAUUUGUUUGACUUAUAUCGACCCCAAAACGACGCCGUUUUGAAACUAGCCUCAGCCGCUUAAAACGACGUUAUUUUGGGGCAUGACCCAAAUCCGACCCGACCACACUUAGAAUCCACCUUUUUUGGGGGACUAAUUGCGCUUUUAGUCCUUCUUCUUUUUAAUGGCAUUACAAUCCAGUCUUAUUUCUUUUUUUUUUUUUAAAUUUAUACCUGGUAUUUCUGAAUCUUUCAUUUUAGUCCUUCCUGGACCGGCGCGUUUUAGGGUGAGGGGAUAAUUUACCACUUGGUCGUUUUAUUUUUUCGCGCGUCGCAUUUCACCCCUUCAUUAUAUAUUUAUCCCGAUUUAUCCUUUUAAUUCCAUUUAAGUUGCAAUUAAGUCCUUUAUUUAUUUACUUAUUUAUUAUUUCCUUACUUUUUUAUAUAUUUAAAAUCGUUUUUUAUUUUCUUUUAUCGUGCUUUUAUUUUUUUAUUUUCUUCUUUCUUUUUCCUUUUUUGUGCCCUUUUAUUAUUAUUGGUAUUGUUAUUUAUUAUUAUUUUAUUAUCAUCUAUACUAUUAUUAUUAUUAUUAUUAUUAUUAUUAUUAUUAUUAUUAUUAUUACAUAUACUUAUGAAUUAGAUCGUACACAUGCUUUUAUUGGCACAUUUUAUUAUUAUUGUCAUUGUUAUUUAUUUAUUUAUUUUGGUAUGUUCUUGUUCUUUUACUAUUUCUUUUAUUAUUUUUGGCAUUUUCAUGUAAUGUCCAUUUACUUUUACACAGGGCAAUUUACCAAAAAAAGCCGUUUCUUUUCAAAAGUUACUGAAAUGGGCCGAUUUUUUUAUUAUUUACCGGAAUGGUCCAUUUUCCGAGAAAUCGCGUCCACGUCAGCGCGAUGUCAGGGUACGUGUCAGGACAUCGCGUCCACGUCAGCGCGAUGUCAGGGUACGUGUCAGGACAUCGCGUCCACGUCAGCGCGACCUGCUGAAGUGGAAGGAAUUCGUGUGGACGUGAUGUCCUGACACGUAGCGCGUUCCGAGGGACGCGAUUUUGACGUUUUUUCACGUUUGGUUUUUUUGGCUUUUAGGGUUUAUGGUUCAGGCUUUUUAGGGUUUUUAGGUCCCAGAAUAAAUUAUUUUGAGUUGACGUUUCUGGUCAAAUAGUAUAAAAUCGCUUCUACCAGGAUGCUAUUUGAGAAGAAAUUGUGAAAUCGCGCCCUCGCGGACGCGAUUUUGCUACAAUAGGUCAUGUAAGAAAUAAUUUUUUUGACGUUUCUGAGCAAAUAGUAUAAAAUCGAUUCUACCAGGAUGCUAUUUGAGAAGAAAUUGUAAAAUCGCGCCCUCGUGGACGCGAUUUUGCUACAGUAGCAAGUUUGGGCUGAGGCUAUAAAUUACGCAGAAAAUGUUCUUAGAAUGCAUAAGUCAUAACAGAAACAAUUUAGAGAGGCUAAGAAAGUUAGAGUUUCAAAAUGAGUGAAUGUAUUAGUGCUGUUAUUUACUACGAUGGUGAGGUUUGCCACACCGAGAAUGGUGUUGUUUUUCUGUCGGAGAAUACGGUGCGACUGUCAUUUAACCAGAACAUAGAUUUGACAGAACUUCGUAAAAGAAUUAGGCGUAAAAUCUUCGGAAUAAUGCCAAUGAAAGUUCUGUCAAUCACGUAUCGAUUUUGUUCUUGUGUUGAUCCGGUGACAUAUGACUCGUUCGACAUAAAAGGUGCUCGUAGCUUGGAGGCAAUGGUACAGACUCAUCUUGCUAGUGGAGCAACUUAUAUUGAGUUAUAUGUACAAUUUACGUCGCCAACUGAUGUACUUCCGUCCGGUGUUCGAGAUGUAUACACGACCCCUAGCCAACACUUGGUUAGCGGGUUACAAAAUACGGAACAACCAAUGUUCGGUAGCGGUGUCGAAUGCACAUUCCCCGCAAGACACUCUGUCAGUGGAUGGGACAUAUACAUCGGUGGCUCGACGUUUGAUGCUGGAAAUACGUACUGGGGAACUGCAUCAAGUUCUAGUGGAUAGCAAUCUACAUCCAAUUGGGGACGUUAUCAAAUGCCUAGAAGAAGGGAUGACGUACUACCUACGAUGUCAACUGGUGAGGGGAGGUCGUACGCUGCAGAUGAUUGUGGGUUAGAAGAUGACUCCGAUGUGGAUCCACCUCGAGAGCCUGGGCCGGAUGGUGCAGAAGUGGGAUUAUUUUCUGAACCGAAGCCUAUUCCAACAGAAGGUGAAGAUGCUGAAAGGAGUUCAGAUGAUGAAGAAAAUCCAUGAUUCAGAGCAUACUCACCUCCAGCCCAUAUGCAUAAUGUCGAUCUGUCAGCAGAUGAUGCGUUAGAGUUUCCAGAUCUACCACACCGAUUGUGCGAUCGUACAAGUUUGGGGGUAGAUUUCGGUGAACUUGAAGUUGGUAAUCAGUUUACCAACAAGGAUAGUUUUAUUAGUGCUUUGAAACAGCAUAGCAUCAAAAACGGCGUUAAUUACCACUUUGUUAAAUCAAAAUCUGAUAAGUUUGAGGCGAAGUGUGCGGUGCAAGACGGCACAUGUUCAUGGAAAAUCGUCGCCUCGUUAAGGAAAAGGACAGGGUUGUGGGAGAUAAAAAAGUACAAAGGUCCACAUACAUGUGCUGCAGGUACAGUAUUGAAUGUAUCUGAAUAAUAAUUUUAUUUUGCAAUGUUGCAUUAUUUAAUGUACUCCCUCUGUAGGUGUUUCACAAGAUCAUCCCAAAAUGGAUUCAGCUAUGUUAGCUAGCUUGAUACUGCCCACAAUAAAAGCAGAUCCUAGGACUUCAGUGCCGGUGAUAAUUGCCAAUAUCCGUAGCCAAAUGGGGUACACGCCCUCACACUGCAAGGCUUGGAUAGCUAAGCAAAAGGCGUUGGAGAAGAUGCAUAGUGGGUGGGACGCCUCAUAUAAUGAACUAUGGCAGUGGUGUCAGGUGCUAGAGAGAUACGUCCCAGGUGCCAUCACAGACCUUGAAACGGAACAUGCGUACUACAACGGCCGAUUGCUACGUGGAUGCCAAGUGUUCAAAUGCCUAUUUUAGACCUUUAAGUAAUGUCGAGACGCAUUUCCAUACUGCAAGCCGUUGGUACAAAUUGAUGGUACCUUCAUGUUCGGUAGGUAUACUCAUCGGCUAUUGGUUGCAGUGGCACAAGACGGCGGUGGGAGAAUUCUUCCAAUUGCAUUUGCAAGAACACCGGGGGAGUCGUCUGAUGACUGAGAUUUCUUUCUCUCUAGGUUAAGGAGGCAUGUGUGCCCCCAACCUGAUAUCUGUGUUAUUUCAGAUCGAGGCACUGGUAUACUAGUUGCAUUUGAUCGAGAGGGAAGCUUGUGGCAGCGCACACACCAUAGAUAUUGCCUAAGACACGUUGCUUCGAACUACUACAGGCAAUAUCCAUCUAAGAGCGAACGACGACAAGUGAAUAACAUGGGUAUUUAGUCUAUAACUGUAUUAUUUCGUUUGUCAAUUUGAAUUAGUUUUAUUGGUAGAAGUGGUAUAAAAUAUUCGCUAUGAUCUUAUAUUGGCAGGGUAUGAAAAAAAUAAAGAUCAUUUUCAUGAGAUGUUGGCAAUUUUACGAUCCCAAAAUGGAGAAGGGGCGGGCUACCUUUGUAACAUACGUUUCAAACAGUGGGCACAAGCAUACGACGGAGGCCUACGAUAUGGCCAUAUGACGUCGAACCUGGCAGAAUGCAUAAAUUCUGUUCUUAAAGGAACGCGCCAUCUACCGAUAACAUCGGUUGUACGAGAGACAUAUUUCCGUUUGGCGGCGCUAUUUCCAAAGCGAGCAGCAACUUAUGCAGGCCAGAUGCUGGGUGGCCAUAUAUGGUGCAGUAAGGUAGUUCAAGAAAUUAACAAGGCGAAGGCGAGGGAAAACAUUAUGCACACAGUGUGUCACGAUCGAGACAAUUUAUGGUUUCGCGUGAUGGAGUUUGAUAGACCGCACCAAGGUGUUGUUGGCGGGCAAUAUCGUGUACACUUGCGAAACAGGACUUGUGACUGUGAGAAGUUUGAUGCACUUCGUUAUCCAUGCGCUCAUGUUAUUGCAGCUUAUCAGAAACUCCGUCUGGAUCCGAUGAGUUAUGUGGACGAAGUGUACAAAUUAGAAAACAUGUACAACGUAUGGAGACACGUUUUCCCACCGGUCCCAGAUGAACGUAAGUGGCCGCCCGUAUCUCUUACUCCUUUUAAGCUGUUACCGGAUAGAGAAUUGCGUCGCAAACCAAAGGGUCGAUCUUGCUCCACUAGAAUACAGAACAAUAUGGAUAUCCGAGAAAUAGCCAGUCAAUAGAAGUUGUGCGGAUGGUAUAGGAACCCAGGCCAUACAAGUCGAUCAUGCCCUAAUCGCAAUAGUUGAAUGUAAUUUUAGAAAAAAAUAUAUUUUAUUCAAUUAUUAAUUGAUAAUUGUAUUAAUUGUUAGUAAAAUUAUCAAAUUAGUUUAAUUUCUUAAUUGUUAGUACCAAUCAAAACAUUUUACGAAAUCUAACAUUAUGUAAAAUUAUGUAAAAUUAUUAAGCCAAAAUUCUUUUGUUAAUGGUUAGUAAAAUUAUCAAAUUAUGUAAAAUUAUUAAGUCCAAAAAUUGUGUUAAUGGUUAGUAAAAUUAUCAAAUUAUGUAAAAUUAUUAAGUCCAAAAAUUGUGUUAAUGGUUGGUAAAAUUAUCAAAUUAUGUAAAAUUAGGUUAGGGUUAGGGUUUUUAAUUAAAUUAGGUUAGGGUUAGGGUUUUUAAUUAAAUUAGGUUAGGGUUAAGGUGUUUAAUUAAAUUAGGUUAGGGUUAGGGUUUUUAAUUAAAUUAGGGUUUUUAUUACAUCAAAUAGAACUUCUAUUUUAUUAUAUCAAAUAAUAUCAAAAUAACUCGAAAAAAUUUCUAUGCCUAUUAUAUCAAAUAAACUUCUAUUUUAUUACAUCAAAUAAUAUUAAAAUAACUCGAAAAAUGUUCUAUGCGUAUUACAUCAAAUAAACUUCUAUUUUAUUACAUCAAAUAAUAAAUUUAAAUACAGUAAUCAAUGUCUAUGCCCGGGGGAUUCGGUUCCACAUGGCGGCCGUCGACGGUUACGCGCUGGAUUCCUCCUUCCUCUAGCUUCUGGCGGCGGUUGUUCUUCCUCCGGAGGUGAUUGUGGUUCUUCUGGUUCGGCAUCUAGUUUUCGGACUUGGGACGAUGAUCCACCUUCAAAGAAUAGUGUAUGUGGAGGUGUUUGUAUCAUGAACGGCGACAGUGUUUGUAUCAUGAUUGGUAAAAAGGAGAACUCCCCGACGGCCCCCCUUGCAAUCCCUCCUGCGCCGUUAGCCUAGAUAUCGGCGGUCCGCUCAGCAUAACAGGAAAUGGAGCUGAACCGGGCAUUUGGCUCCAACCUACCAUAGGAUUCGGAAAAGGAUACAAGUAAGGGUUAGGGUACAUAUAAGGGCUAGGAAACACACCUGGCUCAUAGGGAAAGGCGGUUGCGUGGGUAUCAUCUGUUGAAUUGCUGCGUCAGGUGAUUGCGUCGGUGCUCUCGUUGGGGACGGUGAUUGCAUGGUCGCUGAUGAUGAGCCAGGUGACUGUCUGGGCCUCGUUGAGGGGCUGCCUUCGUAGUCUUGUCGUCUUAGAUAUAGAGGCCCGCGCAUUUCCCUUCCGACACGUAUUUGCCGCUGCCUCUCCUCUGACGUAAGUAAAUACGGCUUGCCAUGGAUCCUAAACCAUGGCAUGUAUUUUGCAACGCACGCUAACUCCGGAACGAUUAUUUGUUCCCGAGUAGGUAGAUUUUCAUGCCGAUUUUCCCACAUUUUCGUGUACUCGGACCAGUAUCUAGGCCAAUCCGUACCUAAUAGCCGAAGGUCAAUUUUGUGGUGAUCGUCAAACACCUCAGGGUCCGCAGGAAUCGGUUGUCUACAUCCAAACUGUUGUAACACUCUGUCUGUCUGGUGGGGCUCCACGGUUGCAUAGUUGAUCAACACCACUUUUGCGUGCCAAGCAUUCGGAUUUUGUAAAAACUCUUCCGAGAUUACUGCCCGAAUUGCCGGAUCCUCGUAUGGUGUCCAUUGAAACUAUAUGAAUAUGAUAGAAAUAUUAGUUAUAUACAUAAUAGUAAAUACUAAAUAUCAAUCGACUAGCGAAUGUAUGGAAAUAUCUAUUUGCAAUAAUACUUACUUGUGCUUCCGACCGUUGCUCCAAUAGAAGCCGUAUAUCUUCAAGUUUAGACGGUAAUCCACGAUAACUUGUCGGAUGGUUCCACCUAAUUAAAUAAAUUUUUAGCAUACUUUUAUUUUUAAAAAAUCUACAUAAUAAUUUCAAAAUGUAAUACAAAAUUUACCUCGUUACGAGUGAGAAUGUAUAUAGGUGGUUCACUCGAGGACGUAGAAAUGGAAAGCGAAACCGUGCCCAUGAUUGCAGUAGCGACAGGCAACCUCCGAUGUUUGCUCUCCUCGGUCGCGUCGCCCCGCACAUCUCCCGAUAUAAUGUUCCCAAGACGGCAGACCCCUAACUAAAUUGUCCGACUCCUCUAAAAUCAACGAGUUUUAGCAGCCACCUUAGAUGUACACGGCUCCGUGACGUGUCGGGCAUCAAAUAACCUCCAAUUAUUUGAAGAAGGUAUGAUCAAGCAUAUCGGAUUCUUUCAAUUUUGGUUGAAUUUUCAUUCGGAUCGGGGAAUGUGGCACGUAACCAGCCCAUCUCGACCUUACCUUCAUAUAUUUUAUCUGGAAUAGCGCCCAAAAGCUCGUAGCACACCGUCUCCCAAUUGCUAGAUUGGGCAGACCCGGUGACUGGGUGCCCGUCCACCGGCAAUCCCAACUGCAGACUGACAUCUUCUAGAGUGAUAGUGCACUCUCCACAUGAAAGAUGGAAUGUGUGCAUCUCGGGUCUCUACCUCUCGAUCAACGCACUGAUCAGUUUCGGGUCCAACUUGCAUCCCUGGCAUACCGUUGCCACGUGCCAGAAACCCGCUUCUCGCAGGUAGUUCUCUACUAACGGUGAUGGAGGAGCAUGCAUAUUCGGGAUAUUGCAUUCCAAUAACCGAUCUUCAGACUUUUAUAACAAAUAAUAAAUUAAUAAUUAUCUAAAAAUACAUAAAUAAAAAAAUCUUAAAUAAUAUUUAAAAAUUAAAUUUAAUACUUACCAUUUUCAUUUGCUCCACCGAUAUGUGAUUCCUAUCAAGACGAAUCAAUGAUUCGGCCAUUGAUGAAAAUAUAAAAAAAUUUAAAAUUAUUUUAAAAAAAUAUAAAAAAUAUAAAAUUAUUUUAAAAAAUGAAAUUGAGGGGAAAUUGAAAUUAAAUAUGGAUUUGAGAGAAUUUUGGAAGGAAAUUGAGAGGAUGUUGAAAUUAAAUAUGGGUUUGAGAGAAUUUUGGAAGGAAAUUGAGAGGAUUAGAGAGGAAAUAUUAGAUAGGAUUUGUUUGUGAAAAAAAAAGGGGUGGGGGGUAUUUAUAUAUAUUUUUUUGACCGUUGGGGGGGCAACGGUCAAAUUUUUGACCGUUGGGGUACUGUUCAUGCGCGGCCGACAUCGCGUCCACAUCAGCGCGACCUGCUGACGUGGCUUGUCCUGACACGUACCCUGACAUCGCGCUGACGUGGACGCGAUUUCCCGAAAAAUGGACCAUUCCGGUAAAUAAUCAAAAAAAUCGGCCCAUUUCGAUAAAUUUUGAAAAAAACGGCUUUUAUUGGUAAUUUCCCCCUUUUACACAUGCAUCUUCCAUUUUUGAUUUAUUUUAAGUUACUUUAUUUAUUUAUUUAUUAUUACAAUGAUAAGAUUAUUAUUAUGAUUAUAUUAUUAUUGUAGUAUUCCUUUACUUACUUAUUAUUUAUCAUUCUAAUGUCGAUUUAGUCCUUUAGUCAUUUAACUUUAACCUUUUAUAAUCAUUUUAUUUUAUUUUAUUUAUUACUUAUUUAUUUUAUUUUUUCAGAUAUUUUUUAUUUUCAUUGCAUUACACAUUAUUCCUCAUUAUUAUUAUUAUUAUUAUUAUUAUUAUUCACUAGCAUAGUAUUUUCGUUUUAUUAAUUUACCCAUUUAUUAUUGCAUUUUUUACUUAUUAUUAUAUUACUUCAUUGUCUUUAUAUUUGUGCCAAGUGUCGUAUUUAAACGUAUUGGUCAAUUUUUAUAUCAUAUCUGAAUAAAUUAAAUAUAUAUCAUUUUAAGUGUUACGUUAAUUUUUACACGAUGCAUAAAAAAUGAACUUUUUUUAAACCGAGGUGAAUGUUCAUUAUUUCAAAUUUAGAAAAGUCAUGUUCUAACUUACAGAAUAUGGUUUCUUUCUAAAACUGAGAUAAUCGAAUAUAUUUUAAAAAAUAAAAUUUUUAGCGUUUAUUCUCAUUUUCUAAAACUUACGGGACAUAAUCCGUUCUUCUCGAUUAACUUGAAAUAAGUCCCUCUUCGUGGGAAUUAAUUUAAUUAAGUAAUCUUUGAAUAAAGGAUCGUAUUAUAAAAUCUCCUCAAAUUUUCAAUUUUCAAUACUAAAAACACCGAGUAAUCAACUAGGUAUCAAUUUUGGGCGUAACGAGGGUGUUAAUCCUUCCUCGUGCGUAACCCGUGCGUAACCCGUGCGUAACCGACUCCCGAACCCAUUUUCUAGAUUUUUGUAGACCAAAAGAUAUUGUUUUAAUAAAUCAAACCUCUUAUUAAAACAAUCAAAUUACGAGGUGACCUGAUCACACCUCUUAAAAGUGAUUGGUGGCGACUCUCAUUUUCGUCUUUUUUUUUAAAAGUCGAUUUCGAAAAAGUUUUGACAGCUUGGCGACUCCACUGGGGGCAAAAUAAGAGAGUCAAGCCACGAGUUGAUUACUUUUGGUAUUUUUGUCGAAAAUUGAUAAUUUGGUUUAAAUUUAUGAUCCAUUCAUUACAUUUCAUCCUUCAUUUUUGUGGUCUCCAUCAUUUUGUUACAUAAUAAUAUGUUCGCUUUAUUGGUUCGAGUCUCUUGAUAUUUUUUCGCAUAUUGCAUUGCAUAGUCGAUCGAUUUUUCCCAUCUUAAGUGGGAGUGAGAAGCUAUUCCUUCGUGAGGUCUUCACCUCCGUAUAGGAUAAUAGAUCUCUUUCGGGAUACAUUUGUACCUAUGUCUUUGUGAGAUCUUCAUCUUUGAAUAGCCAUAGGGAAAUGUAUUCCCCUGAACCAAACUCGGUCUGUAUGAGCCUAUAACGGGUGAGGAUCGAGGAAUCUGUUGGUUUAGGUACCCUUACUUUAGAACCAAACUACAUAUAAUGAGCCUUAAGAGCCUACCCUAGGUAGAACCACACCGAACCUCUAGUGAUCACCCGAUUUGGUGUUCUAUCUAUUAUUUCUUGCUUUGAAUUCUAGAUUUGUAUGAAAUGUACUGACUUGUUUUGUUGUGAUGACAUUACAUUUUCAUCAUAGAAAAAGGUGUUGAUUCAUGUUCAGUUGCUAAAUAGAGAGCUUGUCAUAGAAAAUGGAUUUCUUGAUAAAGUAAAAGACAAUGCGGUUGUCCGGAUAUGGUCUGAGAAGACACAACAAGAGAAGUGUGAUAACUUGAUGGAGGGAUAUAUGCCAGAAUUGUGGGAUUUCACUCGUAUCAGUGUGACUCAGAAUAAUCUCCAAGAGUUGAAAGAAAUAUGGGAUCAAUGGGAUGACGAAACCAAGCAAUUAUUCUACUGUAACUAUAGUGGUUGCCUUAUUUACUCGAUGUUAAAGUGGAUAAGUAUUUAUUCCGAGCUUUGGCCCAGUAUUGGAAUCCCGCUUAUAGCUACUUUACUUUUCGGAAGGUAGAUUUGGUGCCUACCGUAGAGAUGUAACGCCCCAAAAUUUCUAAUUUCAUUAUUGUGAAAAUAUGAUAGAAAUAUCUGUCAGCUUUAGUGGUUAUAUGUUCUGGGAGUGUUUGGGAGGUCCCAAGUUCAAGCCUUCGCUUGGGCAAAUUUUGGUAUUUUGAAUGAAUUAGGCCUUACUCUUAUUCAGUAGGCUUUUAUUUGAUUGUUGGGUAAAUUACAUCAGAAUGGGCCUACUAGUCUGGUGGUUAAAUGGUGUGUUAUUAUGGUGAAUGUCUUAUGUUUGAAUCCUUAUGCAGGCAAGGGUAUUAUUUUUUUUUGCUCAGAUUUCGGGAUAGAGUUGUGUAAUAGGGGGAUUCUGAGUAGUGGAUGUGUAGUGGGAAUUAGGGGAGAAGAUUAAAGGAUUUUGGGGCUUAUCAGGAUUUUAUUUUAUUUUUUCCCAUAACCGAAUUUUGACUCUCUUUUCUAAAAAAAAUUAUGUCGUCUAUUCUUCUCCCUCUCCUCUUGCCAAAAUUCUCUGAGUUUUUUCAUCUUUCUCUUCUUUUUGUUCUUCUUGAUUUUUCCCUAAUCCAUUUAUUUUACUUCGUUUUCGAAUGCUGUUAGUGCUCGUUUAGUUUCAGUAAGUGUUUCUCUUCGUUUUUGUCAUGAAUCUCUUAGCGAACGAAGUGGUAAUAUUUUUCUCUGCGAUUUGGGCGUAGGGGGAGGCUCGGACUGGUGAAUUCAGUGUUUUCGUCUUAACAAUCCUUAAACGGAGGGUUGUCGUUGGUGGUAAGUUGGGUUUCUGUUUUUUCUUGGUUGUCAAUUUGCUUGUAAAUCCAUUAAAUUGAUGUUGAGUAUCUGGAUUAUAGGCUUUGGAGUGCUCGAGGACUGUUUUAGCAUCAAAUAAAACCAGGAGUUUACUCAAAACGCAAAAAAAAAAGGAUUCGGUAAAAAGUCAAAAUUGCUUGCUAUUUGGACAACAGCUGUAGGCUAACUUUGAAAAAUCGCCAUAAAUUGUGGAAAUAAAAUUAGAGGAUGAAAAAAAUAUGGAAUCAAAUAUUAUUGAGUCUAGUUUCUCAUAGAAGAAAUGGUGUAAGUAAUGAAAUUGUAAAUCGUGAGGUAUAAUAAACUUUGUGAGAAAAGGUCAGAAUGAAUUUAGGUUCCCCUGUUCUGAUUUCGGAAAAUCAUCAAAUAUGGUAGAAAAAUAAUUAAGGGUUAAAAUUUACAUAUUUAAAUUAUUAAUGAGUCUAUUUUCAAUAGAAACAAAUGGAAACAUCAUCCAAAUUUUUUACUAAGAGAUGAUGAAUUUUUAGCAAAGAAGGGAUGAAGCUACCAGACAACAGAACAAGGGUAAGUUUCAAGAUUUUAUUGUACUUAUUGGCUAAACCAAAAAUUGUAAAAAUUUUAUGGUAGAAAGAUAUUUGAGUCUAGUUUCAAAGAUAUCAAACGGAUUUUAAUUCGAAAUUCUGUAGCUCAAGAUAUAAAUAAUUUAGUAACAGUGACUCAAGUAGACAGCUUUGAAGGAACAUAGAAAUAAAUAGUGAAAACAUAUAUGAAUAAUUAACUAGCACGAGGUACAUUAAAAAUGGAUCACGUGGCCAAGGCCAAUUUGGGCCGAGUGGGCCACAUGGGCGUCCAUUUUUUUAAAAAGUUCUGUAAGGUUGCACGGGUCGUCCAAGUCGAUUGUGGACCUAUUGUAGGGUCGAUAUUCUUUACUUAGACCCCUAUAUAUAUGAUCUGUUUGUCUGAUUUCUAUACCAAGCAUGACUUAUGAUAUCUAAAUGUAUGUACUAUUAAUUGCAUAAUGGCAUGGCAUAUUUUUUAUGUUACAUUGCAUUGGGGUGGGUUGAUGAUAUUUGGAGGAAGUGUUUGAAAGGCUAUUAAGCCUGUUAUCUGGUAGCUCAGCUGCAACCUUCUGAUUAUGUGCCGCAUUUUGGUACAACAUGGUGUGUAGGGUUGGGUGGGUUGAUUUAAUCCCCAUAUGGUGUGUAGGGUUAGACGGAGAUAGUGUGUAGAGGCUGGUAGGUAGGAUUCUGAUUUACAGUAUAUGCAUUAUGUAUUUGAGAUGGGCUAAGUCCCUAAUGUAUUUCUGAGGCUGUAUCUGAACGGGCCCAAACUGAUUCUGUGAUGGGCACAGGCCCCAGACUGUAUCUAACUGCAUUCUGUUGAUUAUCUGUAUGCAUGUUUUUUCUAGGGAUUACACACUGAGUUUGUAAAAACUUACAAUUUCUCUGUUUAAUCUGUACAAGUAAUCCCUAGACUAGACGGAUUUGUGUAACAGAGGACUCGAAGGUGGCUAUAUGUAAAUUUUAGACUGUUUUUCGGUAAUGCCUAAAAUUUAUUACUUAUUUGGGGUUUUUGAUGUAUCUUCUGGACUAUUUAUUGGUUGGCUUUAAAUUUGGGACUUUAUAUUAUUUUUUAUAGUUUUUUUUUUAAAACCGCAACUCCUCAAAAUAUGGAUUUUUUUCUAAAACCUAAAGUUUUUCGUGAAUAGAAACGAUUUUCCCUAAAUUAAUUAGUUACAAAAGCUUCCUCUAAGAGACAAGUUUUAAAGCAAAUCAACUAGUUUUUUUUUGAAUUAAAUAAAAGCUAACUUACUGUAACGGUUUUUAAACUCGACAAUCUUUUCUUCAAAUCCCUUUCCAUGUGACAUCGCCAGAUUCAGCCAUAACGUCUAGGCCGGGUUUGGGGUGUUACAUUUAGUGGUAUCAGAGCCAAGUUACAAAACUCAACUGUGGAUUUGGGUUUUAAAACUUGGUUUUAAAGAGAUAAUUUUAAAAUGGUUUGAAAUAUUUUGACUAUAUAGUACACCGAGUCCCUGGCGUUGAAGUGGAACAUAUUAAAACUGAAGGCAGCCAAUCUUAUUUCCCUAGCGUUGCAGUGGAUAUAUUAAAGCUACAAAUUAUGGCGAAUCUUAUCUUUCUGAAGUUGCAGUGAAGCAGAUUGAAGCCACCAAUCCUAUCUCCUUGAAGUUACAGUGGAGCGGAUUAAAACGACAAAUCCUAUACCUUUGAAGUUGAAGUAGGUCGGAUUAAAUCUAUCAUAAUAAGUCUUAUUUCCCUGAAGUUGUGGUGGAGCAUACUAAAACCACAAACCUCAUCCCCUUUGAAGUCGCGACAGAGUAGAUUAAAGCUACGAGUCGUGUCUGAAGUUGUAGUAGAGUGGAUCGAUGCAACAGGACGUAAUGGGCUAAAAUUAGGCUACUUGAAGAAGAGAAGCACCAAGAGAGGUCAAGACUCGGCGAGACCGAGCAAAUUUUGUCUUUUUGAAGUCUUUGCUCCAUUCUCGUUACACGACAAUGAGCAAAGAGGGGCAGCUAUAAAACCCAAAUUCUUUCCAGGCUCGUACACACAAAAUAAACCAAUAAAAAAUAAUAAAAAGGUAGUCCAUAUAUAAAAGUCCAAUUACAUCAGCCAAAUUUGCCCAGCCUAAUAAACCAAACCCAUUUAUAGUGGCCCAUUACAUACCCUAACACAACAAACAAAAAAACCCUAACUCCUCUACUACCAAACAGCAAACCAUCGCUGCCGCCUCUCCCACGCGCACCGCUUCUCCAUGCCAGCACCGUACGGCCUCCGUACCUGCAAACAAAUACCAAUAUGAUAGCAACAAAAAAGAAAAAAAGAAAGUUGUAAUUUUUUUUUAUUUUUCCUUCGACAAUAAAAAGCCACCAAGACCCAAAUGUAUUUUUUUUGACAGGGAAUAUGAAUCAAAAACAAAAAAAUAGAGAUUGAAUUCAAAAAAAAUUUAAAACAGAUUCAAAGGUAGUUUUUUAUUCCGAUUUCUUUUUGGUUUUUUUUCAUUUUUUCGUUUUUUUCGGGCUCAUUUUGUUUUAAAAGAAGAAAACAAAAAAUAAAAAGAUAAAAAACCGUACUUUUUGUGUGAGCUUCGCCGAUUCCGAUGAAAAUCAGUGUUUUUUAGGCUCGGGGAGCCGAAAAGCCCCAAAAGUAGCUUUUUUGACUUUCUGGCCAUCGUGGACUGCGGUACCGUCGCCGGCGACCGCCACGGUGGCCCGGCGCUGGAGCUUCGAUCAGAGGAGGGGAUGGCUAAGAGAGUUUGAGAGAGUUUUGGUGUUUUUUUUUAGAAAGGAGAAAAAUGAAAUUUUUUGAAAAAAUUUGAUUUAAAUGAAGAAGUAAAACGGCGCCAUUUUGGGUUAGUGACCUAGGCACCAAAACGAACUGUUUAGGGCCUAUCCACGCGUGACUCGACCCGCUCCAGGGAGGAUCCGCGUGUUUUCACCUUUUGGGUUAUUUACCCUUUUGGUCCUUCCGCUUUUUUGGGUUGUUUUAAUUUAGUCCUAUUUGCACUUUUUAUAUUUAUUAAAUUUUGCCGUGGAAAUUUUUUACUUUCUUCAAUUUAGUCCCGCGUCCUCUGGAGAGACGUGUGUCCCUAGAAUUGGGAUAUUUUCACAUUUAGCCCCUGCGCGCUUUCGCGCCUUAUAUUUUAGUCCUUAUUUACUUAUUUUGUCACGAUUUUUACUUUUAAUUUCAUUUUUAUUCUGAUUUAAUCCUGGGCAAUUCAAUUUCAACCCUUUCGCAUUCUUUUAUUAUUUUAUUUAUUUAUUAUUUGUUAAUUUUUAUUUCUUCAUCCUUUACACUAAAAAUAGAUUUUAAAUAGAUUAUUCAUUUUUUUGUUUUUAUUUUAUUUUAUUUUGUUGUUUUAUUAUUUCUAUUGAUUAUUAUAUCUUCAUGCUAUAUUUACUUUUUCUUAUUAUUAUGCAUUUCCUAAGUUCAUUUUAUUGUAUUUUAUUUUACUUUAUUUAUUUUGUUGUUGCAAUUUGAUUAUCAAUAUUGUCAUUAUUAUAGCAUUCUAUUUUUAUUAUUAUUUAUCAUUUUAAUACUUGUAUUAUUAUCUUACAUUAUUUUAUUAUCAUUUUUUAAUUCGUAUCACGAUUCUCAUCCGAUACAUAAAAAGGGAUUUAAAAAAAAAGUAACACUUCGUAUUUUGAGAUUCAAAAAGGUCGUACCCUAACUUACGGAGUUUUGAUUUUCUCGAUAAAUCUUGGUAAUUGAGUAUCCUUUUUAAUCAAAACAUAUAAAUAAAAAGCUCAUUCUCGGGGAUUCGAUACGUUAUGACCUAACUCAUUGGAUAUGACAUUUUGUUCUCUCGAGACGAGGAUUUUUUUAAAAAAAAUAAAGGCAAUAUUCUACGUUUGGAAUUUUGAGAAAUUGUGUCCUAACUUACUGGGCUUUGAUUUUUCAUCUGACCUAAACAAUUGAAUGUCCUUUUUAAACCUCAUUGCAUGAAUUUUAAAAAUCAAAAGAUAGACUCAUUUUUUAGGAUGUGAAACAUCAUAUCCUAACUCAUUGGGUGUGAUAUUUUAUCUCCUCGAAAUAAGAGGGUCUUAGCAUGCAAUUUGAUUUAUACAAGUGUCUUUUUAAAUACAAGGAUCGUAUUUUAAAAUCUCUUCAGAAAUUUUCAAUUUUCGACACUGAGACACUAAUUAAUCAACUAGGUACCAAUUUUGGACGUCACGAGGGUGUUAAUCCUUCCUCGUACGUAACCGACUCUCGAACUCAUUUUUUUGAAUUUCAUAGACCAAAAUUGUUAUUUUAAUAAAUUAAAUCAUCACGAGGUGACCCGAUCACACCUCCUAAAAAUGAUCGGUGGUGACUCCCAUUUUUUUUUUGUUUUUCAAAAUCCAAAUCGACUUGUUUUUUUCAAAAAAAAUGGUUUCGACAAUUAUUAUUACAGUGUAGUAUCAUCAUUCACUAGCAUAGUAUUUUCGUUUUAUUAAUUUACCCAUUUAUUAUUGCUUUUUUUACUUAUUAUUAUAUUUCUCCAUUGUGUUUAUAUUUGUGCCAAGUGUCGUAUUUAAACGUAUUGGUCAGUUUUUAUAUCAUAUCCGAAUAAAUUAAAUAUAUAUCAUUUUAAGUGUUACGUUAAUUUUUACACAAUGCAUAAAAAAUGAACUUUUUUUUAAACCGAGGUGAAUGCUCAUUAUUUUGAAUUUAGAAAAGUCAUGUUCUAACUUACGGAAUAUGAUUUCUUUCUAAAAUCGAGAUAAUCGAAUAUAUUUUAAAAAAUAAAAAUUUUAGCGUUUAUUCUUGUUUUCGGGGAUCCAAGGUAUUAUGUCUUAACUUACGGGACAUAAUCCUUUCUUCUCAAUUAACUUGAAAUAAGUCCCUUUUCGUGCGAAUUAAUUUAAUUAAGUAAUCUUUGAAUAAAUGAUCGUAUUUUAAAAUCUCCUCAUAUUUUUAAUUUUCGAUACUAAAGACACUGAGUAAUCAACUAGGUACCAAUUUUGGGCGUAACGAGGGUGUUUGGUAGUCCCGUACCCAUUUUCUUGACUUUUGUAGUCCGAAAGAUAUUGUUUUAAUAAAUCAAAUAUCUUAUUAAAACGAUCAAAUUACGAGGUAACCCGAUCACACCUGGUAAAAGUGAUUGGUGGCGACACCUAUUUUUGUCUUUUUUCAAAAGUCGAUUUCGAAAAGGUUUCAAAAAGCGCAAAAAAUUAACCGAGAAAUCAGAUGUUUACUCUUUUGGAGUGGUUCGAUAGACCGGCAGUGGAUUCAAAAUUAGAAUAUUCGCAAAUCAAUUUAGCCAAUUGGGCACGAAAGUGUAUUGGGAAUGAGAGUAUUGAUGAAAGCAUCGACUCUUUUCUAAAAGGUAAAAUUUCACUCAACUGUUUAAGAACAUAUGCCAAAAUUGCAGAAAAUUGUAUCUGUGAAAAUGGUUGCAAAAGGCCCUCCUUGAAUGAUGUAGCUCGAAGACUUGAAAUUGCUCUGCAACUGUGAGAAAUUGAGAAUGUUGAACAAGUUUGUCAAGUUAGUGAUGGAGCUCGGUCCCAAGUCAAUAGAAAUAUCCAGUUAUAUCACAAUUUAUGAAUCAAAUGUCCAUUUGUGCUUUAGUUAUGUUUUUUUAUGAGACAAACAUUCGUGGCUAAUUUAUUCAUGAUAUUUACACAGAGAAAUAUUCGAACCUCAAAUAUAAAUUAUAAAGUAAACUAUACUGUCGAUCAUCAAUUUUAAUAAGUUUUCAUUUUGAAUAUUAAAAAAAAAAUUCAUUUUAGGCACUACUGUUAACAAUUAUUUUCAUUUUGACCGUUCAUAGUUGAUUUUAUGUUUUGUACACUCAUUAUAGUCACCAAACUCUAAUAAGUUUUUACUUAAUUUGUCUUUUUAAUUUUUUUAGAAUUAAUUUUAAUUUUUCAGUAAAAUGGGAAAAAAAUAUUUUACCUUUUUAAUUUUAACCUUUUUCUUGUAAUAGGGAAAAACUUGAAAUUUUAUAGGAAAUUACAUGAAUUUUUAUAGAAAAAGUUUGGGUUUAUAAAAGGAAAGCCCAAUUUAUCAAUUUAAUUUCAUUUUCCCCUCGUUUAAAAUAAAAUUUAGUUCUUUUUUUUUUCUAGUGACAAGGUAAAAACCUGAGUUUUUUCAAUGGAUUAUUUGGUCUUUUACUGGGGAUAGAGUUACAUGGAAAAAUUUAGGUUUUUUUUUAUGUAGUUUUAUAAUUCAAUUCCAUGUAAAAAUAUAUUUUUUCUUUUUAAAAAUAAAAUUAAUUUUAAAGAAAAAAUGAGUGACCAAUAUAAAAAAAUUAUUAAAGUUGGGUGACUAAAAUAAGUGUACAAUAACAUUGAAUUAACGGUAAGUGACCAAAAUAAAAAUGAGUUUUAAUGGGAGUGCCUAAAAUGAAAAUUUUUAUUUUACAGUGACCAAAAUAAAAAUGUAUAAAAAUCCUAAAAUAUAUAGAGAGUCCCAUGUUGGUGCCUAACUUUUGUGUGUUUUGUAUUAGUUUUUAAAUAACUGACUGGUUAGCAAGAAUUUAUGUAUCAUUAAAAAUGAAUUUUUUGUUACAUAAUACAAAAAGGUUUAACCAUGACUCCCUUGUGUUGUUGGCGUCGUCAAGAAUAUUUAUAUCUAUAAAUUUUAGAGACUUGAGAUUUGUGAAAUUUUAUUUUGGUUAUUUUGAUUUUUGAUUAAAACAUUUUAUAAGAUAUAUUUCGUGAGUACGCAACUUUGUUAUGUUUUAGAAAGUUAAAAGGAAAGAGUAAUGUGAGUAGGCUAGAAGGCAAAAGCAAUGAAGCAAAUAGGCCCCCAAAGGGCUCACCAUUGUUUUGUCAUUUUUCUUAGACCCUUAACAAAGUAUUAAGUAAACUUGAUUUGUAAUCUGCCUAUGGCUAUAAUGAAUCCAAUAACAGUUUUUGAUGGUAAAGGUGAUUGAGAUUGCCCUGUCUUCUGUUGCUUACUUUCCAUUGGAUGGUUUUAAAGUUCCCAAACCCAUAGAAAGGGAUAAAAGGAUGGGACCCCUCUACGUUCCAAAGUCACCAUCAAGACUCAUUCAACAAUGGGAAACGCGGAAACUUUAUGAAAUCACAAAGAUUUGAUAGAUUUAUGGUAACUAAUAUGAAUGCUGCUAUUUACCAUCAUAUUCUUUCACAAUUCAUUUGCUUUGGCUAUUAGGUAUUCUGGUCUGAUCUAUGGUUUGAAAUUAGUCUCGUUUGGAUGAAUCAUCAAUGGCGAUAUUUAAGUAAAAUCUUUCUAAUAAAAAUAAUUUCAAUAUUCGAACUCAAUUCAAAUGCUUAGGAAGAAAGUUCACUGUCAACUUUUCUAACCACUUGUUGAUAAACUUAAGAGCGAAGCCAGAAAAUUGCUUUAGGGAGGAUAGAGAUGAAACAUAAAAUUAGGGGAGUAAAGUACAAUUUUACUAUUAUACUAACAUGUAUUUUCAUAAAAUUUAAAUGGAUUAAAUGAAAAAUGUACCAUUUUUGGGAGACUGUCCAAACGGCAUAAAUCUUAAUUGGUGAAUGUAGCUAGUAGGUCCCUCUAUUAUAGAGACCGGAUUAAAUUAGUUCAUUUACUAUUAAAUAGAUCAAUUUAGAUCGCGUACUAUUAAAAAAAAAUCAAAUAAAGUUAAAUUUCAACAAAUUUAAAAUUUUUUGUUUAAAAAUGUUAUUUAUUAUUUAACAUAGUUAUAUUUGGAAGCUUUUUAUGAUUCCGCAGGUGAAAUAUUUUGUUUAAAGUUGAACUAUAGAUGAAAAAUAUAAUUUUCAUGUCAUUUUCAACUAGCAAAUGUUAACUUUGUUCCAAUUUGACCUUACCAAUUUGUUUUAAUAGUAUAGAAAUUAAAUUAAUCCAUUUAAUAAUAUAAGGUCUAAUUUAAUCCUGUACCUAUAAUAAAGGGACUUCAUAAGUACUUUCACCAAUUUCAAUUUGUAUCAAAUGACAUGUCAAUUUAUAGUACCCAAAACAUGUUGCAAGGUGUAAACCUUACUAACAAAGGUUGAGUGCAGUUGUAAGUUACAUUGCACUUUUAAGAAGAAAACUUGAGUUUGAACAUUAGAAAUGACAUUGUUAAGAGGGACAAUUACAAACUCAAAAGAUUUAUUCUCAAACACAGGAUAAAGGAUACCUUAGUUCUAUCAAUUUAUUUAUUUUUUUCUUUUGGAAGAGUUGAGUGAAUUCAAAUCAUUAUCUUUGUGCUGAGAUAAGUAAAUUUGAGUCCAAGCUUGCGCAAUGGAAAGCCAAAAUGCUAGGUCAAGGAGGAAAACUAAUGUUAAUAAAAUCAGCAUUGACAAGUCUUCCUUUGUAUCAAAUGUCUCGCUAUCAAGCACCGAAAAAUAUAUGUGAAAAGAUGGACAAUAUAGUAUGACAAUUCUGGUGGGGAGAAGACAAUGAGGAGGAGAAUUCACUAUCUCAAUUGGGAUAGAUUGUGAGGUGAUAAAUCUCGAGGUGGGCUUGGCAUCAAAAAAUGUAGAAAUCAUGGAAAAUCAUAAACAAUCAAAAUUGAUUAAAAAAUAUUGUUGCAAUGACAACUUUUUGCAAUAACGAAACCAGGUAAUUCUUGGGUGUGGAAGAGUAUCAUAAGUGGAAAGGAAAUGAUCAAACAAGGAAUACUAUGGCGAAGGACGAGCCGUGUGCGAGACGAAAAAAAUGCUUCGAAAAGACACAAAGAGGAUAUCAGACAAGAAAUCCUAAGCAUAAUAGAUGAGAAGUGGAAAGAUGAAAGCCCAUCUUUGAAGGCGAGGAUGAGCCAAUAUGGAAAUUCACCCCCGAUGGUAAGUACUUGGUAAGAUUGACCUAUUUUAAAGAAUUUAAUGAGAACUUAAAUGAUGACAAUGCUCAUUCUAACUCACUUAUUGAUUAGUGUGAUUGGGGAAUGUUGUGGUUGGUGAAAUUAUCAUUCCAAAUUACAAUAUUUUUGUGGAAGAUAUUAAACAAUGCCUUACCAUGCAAGUUGGAGAUCAAAAAGAGAAUUCAAACCAUAGACACUGGUUGUGCGCUGUGCCAUUAUUGUGUAGUAGAUUUAGAGCACCUUUUUACGGACUGUCCUUUUACAAGGGUUGUUUGGAUUGUAUCAAACUUGAGAAUCAAAACUGAUAGCUUGAAGAUGAAUUCUCCUAUUGAGUGGAUUCUCCCAAUGUUAAGGCGAAUUAAAUCAGAAAAGGAGGAUAGGGACAACUUCUUAUUGUUUACCUCAAACUUAUGGAGUAUUUGAAACCAAGAAAACUAGGUUAUUUUCGAGGGAAGAACCCCAAUUCUAAUCGUUGUCAUCAACAUGGCUACGGUUUACACCAAUAGAGCGAUUAAGGCUUAUGAGAGUUGGUGUAAUUACAAACCGCUAGUGCAAAGUAAUUUGGUGACGAGAAUGGAGAGCAUGACGACACCAACUUAUAACUAACGUGUAUGUUGGAUGGAAGAAAGGAAAUGCAAGAGUUAGCGUUGUCAUUCUAAUAAAAUCUCCGGAUGAUAUUACAAGGAAAUUUAUUAGGAAAAUUUUACAUCAAUCUUCUAGGAUCAAAAGCAAGCUGUUGAUUGCUCGAUUCAUCCUUGCAUCUUCGUGUCGGAUGAGUUUAGCAUCUGUAGUGUUUUGGACUAAGGAUAAACUACUUGGGAAAAUUGUCGAAGGAAAAGAAAUCAAGGUGAAUUGGGAAAUCCAACCAGUAUGGGAUGAUAUAGUGGUGAUGGGAAGACUCUUCCCGUUUACAAGAUAUUGUGGGAAUGAUACUAAAGCCCUAUACCGGACAUGUAAUGAAGCUGCUGAAGUACUUUCAACUUGUUAAAUUAGAUUUGUAAGUAUUUUUACUUGUAUUACCUGUAUGUUUUCACUUUGUUCAUCUAUCAAUAAAAAUUUCGAAUCAUUUUAAAUUCGACUUAUUCAAGUGUACUUUUAUAUGAUUAAAUAAGUAAAUAAAAUUUUCCAAAUUGGAUAAAACGAAACUAAUAAACAAUAAGAUAUUAUACCACUAUCUCUUCUCCCAAAAUUUAUGUUAAAAAAAAAUCUAAGAUAAUAUACUGGAUGUGUCUUCAAAUUUCGAACCCAUAUGUAGAAAUAGAUUCAAUCUUGCAAAUCAAGUUCAUGAUCUGUUUUCUUCGAGAAAGAACGUUUAGAAUUCAUAUUUUUAAUUUUUUAUUCAUAUACAAAAUCAGAUUAGUUUCCUUAAUUAUUUUCCCUCGAAUUCAUUCAAUUUCCCUCGGUUAAAAUACUUGAGAGGUCCCUAUAUUAUAAGGACUAGAUUAAACUAUUCCAUCUAUUAUUAAAUAGAUCAAUUUAGUCCCUAUAUUAUUAAAAAAAUCAAAUAAGUCCAAGUUAUAAUGGAGUUAAUAUUUACUAUAAAAAAAUAUAUUGAAUUUUUUUUUAUUUAAUUGCAGUUCAAUUUCAAACAAAAUAUUUCAUUUAAAGAAUUAUAAAAACUUUAAAAAUAUGAACUCUGUUAUAUGGUAAAUGAUAUAUAUUUUUUAAACAGUAAAUGUUAAAUCUAUUCUAAUUUGGUCUUAUUUGAAUCUUUUCAAUAGUACAAAGACUAAUUUGAUCAAGUCUCUAUAUUACAGGACCUCUGAGGUACAUUCACCAAUUUCUUUCCCAUAUCUCUGGUUUUUCACACCAUACCUUAUGAUUAUGCGAAGAACUCAGUUCUUAAACUCACAAUGAUUUGUAUAAAUUCUUUAUUAAACACAAUAUAUCUACCAACAGAAGAACAGUAACAUCAAAAACCAAACACAAACACAAAACAUCAAACCUUCCAUAUAUUUUUGGUCCUAAUUUCUUUUUCAUUUGACUCCCCUCUUGCAACGAUUAUAUGUUGUACAAGGCCGAUAAUCAGGACCUGCAGGUUUUAUACAAUUCCCAUAAAUAUUCGCAUUGCAAACCGGUUGAGGCUGUAACCCUCGAUAAGAUAUAGGAGUAGCUGCAGCAAGGCUCCUUUGUUUCACCUCGGAUUCACCGAACAACACCACUUGUUCUUCAUCUUCGAUGAAUUCACCAAUUGUUUCAUCGUAUUUCGUAGCGUUUGGUUUGCUCUCAGGAAAGGCUAAAGCUGCUGAUUUGGUCACACUGUUGUUGAUUAACAGCAAAGAAGCUAAUAUGAACAAUGGAAAAUAUCCCAUUGUUCCUCUUUUGAUCUUUUUCUUUUUUCCGAUUUGUUUUUCUGAGUUUGUAGGCACUUAAAUAAAUAAUAUGUUGUUGGGAGAUUAUCUAUAAGAAAAAGUUGUAAAUUGAGGAUAAGUAAUGAAAGGGUCUGGUUUCAUUGAUUGGUUUAAGGGUCUUAUAGUGGGGGCCUUUGCUAUUUCAUCUUCAAAUUUGGUGGAAGAAAAUGACAGUGGUUUUGCUUGACUUGGUCAAGUUUUAUUUUUAUUUUUUUAAGAAAAACUUGAAAAUUAAGAUUAAAUUACUAAUUUUCUAAUAACUGAUUAGUUCAUUCCGAUUUGGAUUUUUCAAUUUUGGUCUAACAUUGUUAUUUCUUUCUAAUUUUGUUGGUGUAACAUUUUGAAAUAAUAAAAAAAUACUCACUUGGUAAUAAUGUAAAUUGAAAAAUAGCGUUGUAAUGAACCUGGAUUUAACAAAUUUGUUUUAAUAGAAUUAAUAGUUAGAUUUGAAUUUUGAAAUUUAAAAAGUAAAAUGACUAAAUUUCAAAUUCAUGAAGAGUAUAGGGAAUUAUGACAUAUUUGUAAAUUAGACCUUUCGAUACUAAAAUGCCACAUAUUGAAAUUUAAUAGUAUUAUUAAUUAGAUUUUAAUUUUUGAAUUAAGAAUUAAAAAUAGAGAAGUUAAAUUAUAAAAAUUCAAAGAAUAUAGGAACUAAUGACAAAAUUAAACGUUCGAUUUUGCAUUGACUUUAGUUCGGUUUCCAAAGACUAGUGCAAAUCCCCACCAAUUUCGGCCAAUGCAGGGGGCAAAUGGAAAUUAGAACACAAAAGGCCAUCACUCAGCACCAAGAGUACAAUAAUUAUGGUUUGUCAAUACAUGGAGUGCUCUGGCAUCAGCUCUCUAAGGAUAAAAAAAAUUAAAAUUCAUAGUUUUGGUCAGAUAAAAUGUUUAUUGGUUGAAUCAGUUUGUGAGUUUUGAUUAAAAGUGGUUAGAAAUUUAUAUAAAAAAACAACCAAUUUAAUCAUUAGUUUAUUUGAUUUUUUAACUCGAUUCAUGGGUCAAUUAAACUAAUCUCUUAUUUCAUGUCAAUACCUAAUUGAUUUUCGAUCUAAUCGACUUAUCUAACUCAAUUCCGAUAAUCAUGACAAAAAUAGUAAAACAUUGAGUCCCAAUAAUCAUUCUCUAAUAUUAACCAAAUCCCGUGCUUAAAAAAGUCAAAUUAAUAAUUUUAAAAAAUAAAAUUUAAUUACAUAAUAUAUGAUAAGUAUAAUGAUAAACUCUUAAAUAAAUGAAAUUAGAAUCAAAAUAAAGUUAUUAUAAAUAAAUUGUUUAAAAUGUGAGAUAUAGACAUAAAAUAAAUAUAACAUCAAAAUUAUUUAUGGAUGAUUGAACAUAUUGAAAUCAAUAUAUAAUAAUUUUAAAAGUUAUAUAAAUCUAUAAAAUUUAAUAUGAAUAUAUACAUGAGACCUUUUGGAGUUUAAAAUUAUAAGUACAAUAUAAAUCACGAAUAAUAUAUGUUGAAUUAAUUAAAAUUAAAAUAAUCUAAAUAUGAAAUAAAAUAGACUAAAAAUCGGGAAAUAAUCAAAACUAAGUUAAAAUAAAUUGAGAUAAGAUUUAUGAAUAAUAAAACUUAAAUUUAGAAUAAUUUAAAAGACAACUCACUAAUAAAAUUUCAUAUAUUUAAUCAUCCAAACUAACCCUAAAUAGAAAACCAAUACCCUUUUAGUUGUUCUUAAAACAAUAUGCUCCAAUUAAAAAUUCUACACCUCUUUUGUGUAAGUGUAUAGAUUAUUAUGAGAAUUAUAAUAACAAGACUAAGAAAAGCAACAUAUGAAAUUGCUCACUCAAAACAUAGAUGAAAUAUGUUAAAAAUAAAUUUGACAAUCUUGAAAAAAUGAUUAUCGAACUCCUCGCUUGCAUCGUGUAUACACAGUACAAGGACGAUAUGAUGGACCGAUAGGUACAAUGCAAUUACCGUAGAUGUUACCAUUACAAACCCCCGGCUUCUGAAUAGCUCCGUAACAUAUGUGACGACGACGAUUGUAUGUUGGUCCUCCUUGAAGGAGACGUUUAGACGAGUGACUGUCUCCGUUUACAUUACGGCCACAGUCUUCAGUUACGGUGGAAUUGCAUAGGGUGGUGGUGACGGCAUUGUUUUGAUCUAAGAAGAAGGAAGUUUCAAAGGCAUAUAUGGGGAAAACAAUAGCAAAGAUUGCAAGAGAAACGGAGAGAAUUCCUCUCGUGAAAUCAUUUCCCAUUGUUGUUCUUUUUUUCGCUUUGAAAUGAUAACUUGCAUAUGCUCCUAUAUGAGGUUAAGUGAUCAUCUAAUUGAUUAGAAUUCCUUUUUCUUUUUUCUUUGUAUUUCCACUAACUUUACUUUAAUGAAGAUUGGUAUCAUCUUUUGCUUUAAUAAAGCACACCAAUGACAUGAGAAUAUAAUAUAAAAAGAUAAAGUAGGUAAAUUAUUUUCUCUUUUUUUUUUUUGGAAAGUUAAAUUAUAUUCUUUUUAUUGUAAUAAUUAGGGAAAAAAAUUGUUUGUAGCUUUAUUGACUUGACCAAGAGAAAAAUACUAACCGAUCAAUACAAAAAACCAAGCUUCCAAGAAGCCGGUAAAUAUAACUAAUUUUCAUAAUUAAAAGUGUUCCACAAUACAAAUAUAUACAUUUUAGAAAAAAAUAUUAAUUUUAUGAAUUAAAAUCUUUACGUAAUCUUAUCAUAGUACUAACUUGGUACAUUUCUAUUAAAAUAAACAUUACUAAUUAAUAUAAAAUAGAGAUCUCGGCCCGUUUAAGUCGAGUUGAGGUUUGAUUUUAAAAACAAAUUCAGGCCUAAGUAUGAGCCUGGCUUGACUUGACCUAUAUAAAAAAUUCAUAUUACUAUUUAAAAUUAGACCUGUUCAUGGGUUGGAUUACUCGCCUAAGCCCAAAGGCCCAUUCAAAAUUUGGGAGGAUUUGGGUAAAAAUAUUAGGUUUGAAAAUGAGCUCGGGUAAAAAGAUUAGGCCCGUUUGAAAUAUGGACCGGGCUCGAGCUUGAACAUUCAAAGUUUGAGUCUGGCCCAAACCGUCCUAUUUUUAAGUUUAUAAUACUUUAUAUUAUGUAAUUUAUAACAUAUUAAAAAAUAACCUAUAUUAAAUAUAUAAUACUACUCUUAUGUAAACAUUAAAAUAAUGUUAAGAUGACUGUAUAAAAAUUUUCAAUAAAUAAAAAGAUUAUUGAAUAUAAAAUGAAAAUGAUAUAAAUAUUUUUUUUAAAUUAAAAAUAAUAUGUGUAGGCCUAAGAUGAGUUUAGGUUAGUCUUUUGUAAAUAUGAGCAGGUUUGGACAAAAUUUUAAACCCAUAUUUUGAGUCAGGCCGAGCUUGACCAAACAUAAAAUAUAUUAAUAUCAAGUUUAGGCUCGACACGAAUCUAACUCGACCUAGCCCAUGAGCAUCUUUAUUUAAAAUUAAUAAAACAUAUAAAAAAAUUUAUUGAUAUUUAUAUAUUUUAUAAUUAAAUUUAAAUAAAAAUAUUUUAAAAAUCAUUUAAUUGAAACUUGAGCUAGAUUGAAGACAAAAAAUCUUAUUCAAACUGAACCCAACUCAAACAAAAUUGACCGAGUCUAACAGAUUACCCAAUCUAUAAACAACUCUACUACAAAAGCUCCAUCACCAAACUCACCCUACACACUUCUCACACACAUAAUCGCUUUAUUUUUCCACAAAGAACAAAUUUAACAACAAAUUUAACUUGGUCGACAUUUUCUUCUUAGCUUGAUGGCAAGAUUAAGAGUUCUUUUGGAUAGGCGGUGUGUUUAUCUGAAGUCAGUGUAAAAAUAAUGGUGGCGGUGAGAAUCUGCAGCAGUACUGUAAUGUGAAACAAAAAAAAAGUUAAAUACACCACAUUGAAAAUAAACUCCAUCCAAAAGGAACCUAAUUAUAUAAAAGUAAAGUUUUCUUUGAGUAAUCUCUUUGUGGCUCAUUUGCUGAGCUUCAAUUUGUUGAUUUUCUUUAACAUGGGCUUUGAUUGUGCUAAUGCAUGGGGGAUCCUUGGUGGUAAUAUUAGGAAUUUUUGAUGAGCUUUCUGACAUUUUCAAAGUGUAGCAAAGAAGGAGGAGGGGGAGGUAUCGUCACUUUCUUUUACAUAUAUAUAUAUACAUUUUAGGUUUGCAAUGACAAAUAUAUAUACAUAUAUAUAUGCGAAUUAGGUGUGCAAGAGAAUGUUAAAUGUGUUCAUUAGAUUAAUGUGUUUAUUUUUAUUUUUUUAGGGUAAGAUGCACAUUAUACAUAUUUAUAUACAUCAAUAGUAUGUUUGGCUAGCUUGUAAUGUUACUAAAGUCGCAUAUGUGAUUGCAUAAUAAUUAUUGUAAUAUGGUUCAGAUGGUUUUAUUAUGUGCUUGUGCAGAAAUUAUGAAAUGCUGUGUUUGAUAUUUAACUAAUGAAAUAUACGAAUGCCAUUAAUAUUAAGGUUAUGUGGUUCGAACAUUAAUCUAAAUUAAGUAUAUGGAAUUUGGCUUUGUUGCAUAUUAGUUGAAUUCGAAUAUGUGGUUAUAUAGAUUAUAUUAAUAUGGUCGAAAUUUGAAGCUAGUUUGUAUAUGUGUUAUAGUAAUAAAGCAUGACACAUUUUAUCUGGUUAUGUGUUCUUUAUGUGCAAAAAUUUAAUUAACAUGAUUUUGGUGGAUGAUUGAUAUUGGAUAUAGAAGUUGGUACAAUCAUGUGUAUAAAAAUGAUAAAUGACUAUGCGAAACUGUGUUUUAUCCGGUAAUGCCUCGUAACUCUAAUUUAGCGACGGAUACGGGUUAGGGGUGUUACAAGUACUUUUGAUUCAAAAGGGUACAAAUACACAGCUAAAAGUGGGGUUUUUAAUAUUUCCAAAGGUUCCCUCGUUGUGAUGAAAGGGAAGAGAAAGACUGCCAAGUUAUAUGUUUUGCAGAAUUGGCAUGGCAGAAUUGAGCAAAAGAGGACUUCUUGAUAGGCAAUGAUUUUGCAAACUGAAGUUCUGUGAGCACUGCAUUUUUGGGAAGCAAAAGAGAGUUUGAUUCACCACAGGAAUCCAUAACACGAAGGGACCAUUGGAGUAUAUUCAUUCUGAUCUGUGGGGGCCAUCCAGAGUGCCUUCGAGAGGUGGAGCUAAUUAUAUGCUAACUUUUAUUGAUGAUUUUUUCAGAAAAUUUUAGGCGUUCUUCUUGAAGUAGAAAAGUGAUGUGUUUUCCGCAUUUAAGUCUUGGAAAACUAUGAUUGAAAAACAGACUGGAAAAAAAAUAAAAUACCUUUGCACAGAUAAUGGCUUAGAGUUCUGUUUUGAUGAGUUUAAUAAACUGUGCAAGUCAGAAGGGAUCGUGAGACUCUUGACAGUUCGUCAUACUUCACAGCAAAACGGCGUUACAGAACGGAUGAACAGAACGAUCAUGGAGAAGGUUCGAUGUAUGUUGUCAAAUGUCAACUUACCAAAGUCAUUUUGGACCGAAGCAGCCUCUACUAUAUUUUUUUGAUCAAUCGAUCUCCAUCCAUUGCCAUUGAGAAAAAGACUCCACAAGAGGUAUGGUCUGGUAAUCUUGCUGACUAUUCUGAUUUAAAGAUCUUUGGGUGUCCUGCAUAUGCUCACGUUGAUAAUGGAAAAUUAGAAUCGAGAUCCAUUAAAUGUGUUUUUAUUGGUUAUAAAGUUAGUGUAAAAGGGUAUAAGUUAUGGUGUCCUGGAAAUAAAAAAGUUGUGAUUAGCAGAGAUGUUUUUGAUAAAACUGCUAUGCUACCUAACUUAUCUCUUAAAGACUCUUCAAAUAAAGAAAAUCAAAAGCAAUUGAGCAUCAGAUUAAUCUAGAAUCUACAACAAAGUAGACUCCACAAGCCAGUACAAAAAUCUAAAAUAGAGUUGCUUCUUCACCACAAUACUCUAUCGCCAAAAAUAGAAUUAGAAGAGAAAUUAAACCUCCAAAGAAGUAUGUUGAGGUUGAUCUAGUUACUUAUGCUUUAAAUGUGGCUGAAGAUAUAGAUGCAAACCAAGAGUCAUCUAAUUAUUCUGAUGCGGUUAGCUAUGAAGACUCAGAAAAGUGGAUGUUUGUUAUGUAAGAGGAGAUGGAAUCACUUCACAAAAACAAAACAUGAGAUCUUGUGAAAUUUCCUAAAGGUAAAAAGGUUGUUCGUUGUAAAUGAGUGUUUAAAAAGAAAGAAGGAGCUCUAGGAGUUGAAGAACCCAUAUAUAAAGUAAGACUUGUUGCAAAGGGUUACAGUCAAAUUCCAGGAGUGGACUUCACAGAUGUAUUCUCCCAAGUUGUGAAGCAUAGUUCGAUUCGGGUUUUGCUUGGUAUUGUGGCCAUGCAUGAUUUGGAGCUUGAGCAGUUAGAUGUAAAAACUGCAUUUUUGCAUGGAGAACUUGAGAAGGAUAUUUACAUGCAACAACCAGAGGGUUUUACAGUCUUAGAAAAAGAGGACUAUGUUUGCUUACUGAAAAAGUCCCUUUACGGUUUGAAAUAGUCACCAAGAUAGUGGUAUAAGAGGUUUGAUUCAUUUAUGUCUUCCCAUGACUUUAAAAGAAGUAGCUUUGACAGUUGUGUUUACUUUAAGAAAAACAGUGGUGGUUCUUUUGUGUAUCUACUCCUUUAUGUUGAUGACACGUUGAUAGUAGCAAAAGAUAAAGGAAAGAUAAGAAAGGUCAAAGCCUAACUAAGUAAAGAAUUUGAGAUGAAAGAUUUGAGACUAGAAAAGAAGAUACUUGGUAUGGAGAUUCUCAGAGAUAGAAAAGCAAGUAAAUUGUACCUAAGUUAGAAGUGGUACAUUGAGAAAGUUCUUUGCAGAUUCAAUAUGCAGAAUGCUAAGCCUGUUAGUACUCAUUUAGCAUCCCAUUUCAGACUUUCAUCAGCUUUGUCUUCAUAAUUAGAUGAUGAGAUUGAGUACAUGUCACAUGUUCCAUACUCUAAUGCAGUGGGAUCUCUCAUGUAUGCUUGGUUUGUUCACGUCUAGAUUUAUCAUAUGCAGUCAGUGCAGUUAGCAAAUAAAUGGCGAAUCUUGUAAAGAACAUUAGAAAGCAGUUCAAUGGAUUUUAAGAUAUUUACGAGGUACUCCUGAUGUUUGCUUACAGUUUGGAAGAACUAAAGAUUGAGUCAUUGGGUAUGUUGAUGCUGAUUUUGUUGGAGACCUUGAUAAAAGAAGAUCUCUCACAGGUUAUGUCUUUACAAUCAGAGGUUGUGCAAUCAGUUGAAAAGCCACUUUGCAAACUACAGUUGCUUUGUCUACCACUGAAACUAAGUACAUGGCAAUUACUGAGGCUUGUAAAGAAGCUAUUUGGUUGAAAGGACUCUUCAAUGAACUUAAUAAAGACCUUCAAAUCAAUAUAGUAUUUCGUGAUAGUCAAAGUGCCAUCUUCCUUACAAAAGAUCAAAUAUUUCAUGAGAGAACAAAACACAUUGAUGUUUGGUAUCAUUUUGUUCAUGAUAUUAUUGCUCGUGGUGAUAUUUUUGUGAGCAAAAUUAGUACUCAUGAAAAUCCUGCAGAUAUGAUGACUAAGUCACUUCUUAUAACCAAGUUUGAGCAUUGACUAAACUUGAUUGGUGUUCAUUGUUGAAGUUAAACCCUUAAGGGGUUUUAUGGAAGAGGUGUAGAAAUUGUUCAUUGAGAGUUCACGAUGAAGAACUUGUUCGUAGAGAAUUCGUGUCAAGGUGGAGAUUGUUAGAGUUGUGUGACCCAAAUUCUAAGAGAUUACUUGCAAGUCAAGUUAAACAAAAUAUAUCUUAUUUCUAGAAGAUUUAGUAUUUAUAAGUAUAAUAUAUUUAACAUUUAUUAGCAUAAUAUAUUUGAUUUUGAUUAGAAUUAGGUUUUUUUUUCAACCUAAUAGAUGUAGUCGAAACUCCUCUUCAAAUCAUUCGAAUUCAACAUAGGGAAUUUUCUUCUCCUUUGCCCGUGAUUUUUUCCCGAAAGGGUUUCCACGUAAAAUCUGUGUUCUUUAUUUUUAUUUCUCUUUUCUUUGUAAUAUAUUGUCAUUACCGAUGUUCUAUUUUCAUAGUGUAUAGAUUAUUAUGAGAAUUAUAAUAACAAGAUUAAGAAAAGCAACAUAUGAAAUUGCUUACUCAAAACAUAGAUGAAAUAAGCUAAAAACAAAUUUGACAAUCUUGAAAAACUGAUUACCGAACUCCUCGCUUGCAUUGUGUAUACAGAAUACAAGGACGAUAUGAUGGACCGAUAGGUACAAUGCAAUUACCGUAGAUGUUACCAUUACAAACCCCCGGCUUUUGAAUAGCUCCGUAAUAUAUGUGACGACGACGAUUAUAUGUUGGUCCUCCUUGAAGGAGACAUUUAGAUGAGUGACUAUCUCUGUUUACAUUACGGCCACAAUCUUCGGUUACAGUGGAAUUGCAUAGGGUGGUGGUGAUGGCAUUGUUUUGAUCUAAGAAGAUGGAAGUUUCAAAGGCAUAUAUGGGGAAAACAAUAGCAAAGAUUGCAAAAGAAACAGAGAGAAAUCCUCUUGUGAAAUCAUUUCCCAUUGUUGUUAUUUUUUUUUUCCUUUGAAAUGAUAAUUUGCAUAUGCUCCUGAGGUUUAAGUGAUCAUCUAAUUCAUUAGAAUUCCUUUUGCUUUUUAUUUUUAUUUCCACUAACUUUACUUUAAUGAAGAUUGGUAUAAUCUUUUGCUUUGAUAAAGCACACCAAUGACAUGAGAAUAUAAUAUAAAAAAACAUAAAGUAGGUAAAUUAUUAUUAUUUUUUUGGAAAGUAAAAUUCUAUUCUUUUUAUUGUAAUAAUUAGGGAAAAAAAUUGUUUGUAUCAUCAUUGACUUGACCAAGAGAAAAAUACUAACCGAUCAAUACAAAAAACCAAGCUUCUAGGAAGCCGGUAAAUAUAACUAAUUUUCAUAAUUAAAAAUCUUUACUUAAUCUUAUCAUAGUACUAACUUGGUACAUUUCUAUUAAAAUAAACAUUACUAAUUAAUAUAAAAUAGAGAUCUUGGUCCGUUUAAGUCGAGUUGAGGUUUGAUUUUAAAAACAAAUUCAAGUCUAAGUAUGAGCCUGGCUCGACUUGAUCUAUUUAAAAAACUCAUAUUACUAUUUAAAAUUAGACUUAUUCAUGGGUUGGGCUACUCGCCUAAGCCCAAAGGCCCAUUCAAAAUUUAAGAGGGUUUGGGUAAAAAUAUUAUGUCAGAAAAUGAGCUCGGGUAAAAAGAUUAGGCCCGUUUAAAAUAUGGACCGGGCUCGGGCUUGAACAUUCAAGGUUUGAGUCUGGCCCGAACUGGCCCAUUUUUUAAGUUCAUAAUACUUUACAUUAUGUAAUUUAUAACAUAUUAAAAAAUAAACCUAUAUUAAAUAUAUAAUACAACUCUUAUUUAAACAUUAAAAUAAUGUUAAGAUGACUAUAUAAAAUUUGUCAAUAAAUAAAUUAUUAAAUAUAAAAUGAAAAUGAUAUAAAUAUUUUUAAAAAAUUUAAAAAUAAUAUGGGCGGGCCUAAAAUGAGUUUGGGUUAGUCUUUUGUAAAUAUGAGCGGGCUUGGACAAAAUUUGGAACCCAUAUUUCGGGUCGGGCCGAGUUUGAGCAAACAUAAAGUAUAUUAAUAUCAAGCUUAGGCUCGACACGAAUCCAACUCGACCUAACCCAUGAGCAUCUUUAUUUAAAAUUAAUAGAAUAUAUAAAACUUUUAUUGAUAUUUAUAUAUUUUAUAAUUAAAUUUAAAUAAAAAUAUUUUAAAAAUCAUUUAAUUGAAACUUGAGCUAGACUGAAGACAAAAAAAUCUUAUUCAAACUGAACCAACUCAAACAAAAUUGACCGAGUCUAACAGAUUACGCAAUCUAUGAACAAGUCUACUACAAAAGCUCCAUCACCAAACUCACCCUACACACUUCUCACAAGCAUAAUCGCUUUAUUUUUCCACAAAGAACAAAUUUAAUAACAAAUUUAACUUGGUCGACAUUUUCUUCUUAGCUUGAUGGCAAGAUUAAAUGUUCCUUUGAAUAGACAGUGUGCUUAACUGCUGUCAGUUAAAAAAUAAUGGUAGCGGUGAGAAUCUGCAAUAGUACUGUAAUGUAAAACAAAAAAAAGAAAAAGCUAAAUACAUCACACUGAAAAUAAACUCCAUCAAAAAAGACCCUAAUUAUAUAAAAGUACAGUUUUCUUUGAUUUUGAAUUUGAUAAAUAUUAUGUACAUUUUAUAUUAUAGGGUAAGCUGCCCUACUUGUUUCACCAUUAAUGAAGUUUCGUUAUACUAAAAACGAACAUUUAUUUUGUACGAUUAAAUGCAUUAAAAUUUUAAAUGUUUUGAAUUUAAUGUUUCUUUAUUGGAUUGUGAGGUAUGAAUGACGAAGAAUAGUCCCAUUCAACCCCAAACAGAUAAAACCGUAUAAUUAUAAUAAAUUUUGAUUAAAAGAAUUAUAUAUAUAACAUAAAUUUUUAUAAAAUUUUAAUUUUAAUUUAGCUAUAGAUAAUUAAACAAAAAUAAAUAUAUUUAUAUUUAUAUUGCACAGUCAUUUGUACAUGCAAUAAAAAUUAUAAAAUGAUCUCAUGUUAAUAAUAAUAUUAAUGAUUCCUAAAAUUUCAAUCACAAUUAAAAUAUUAUAAAUACUUUCAAAGUUGCAUAAGAGAGAAAAAAUUAUUAAAUGGGGAAGAAUUUCAUAAUUGCAAGUCAAAAGAAAAUCCAACAAUUCAUCAAUCCCUUAGAUAAAAAUUUGAAAAUUCCUCCGACAACUUUUGAUUAUUAGUUCUACAAUGUUAAACCAUCCAUAGAACCCUUAUUCAUAAUUUAAAAAAUAAUACAUACUUAAACAGAAUCGAAUUCAUAUCUUUCUUAUGGUACAUCAAUGCUAUCCAAAUUAAAAUUCAAUCCUCUUAUAUAGCUAUUCUUUUGAAAAGGUGAGUAAACAUUUGCAAAAUAUAUUUAUUUCAGCAAGCAGGAAUCAAAAGCAAACCAAGCCUACGUUGCUUUGGCAUUACUAGUAAAAUCACGACCAAUUAGUACAAGAAAAGCCAAAUGGUUCAAUGAUUGUCACGCUUGCAUCGGUUAUAGACAGUGCAAGGGCGGUUGUCCUCACCGACUGGCUUUAUACAAUCGCCGUAUUUAUCGGCCUUGCAAACCGGUUGCCUCGGAAGACUUCCAUAAGAAAUAUUCUCCCCCUUCAGAGGGCUGAUCAUCGUGUUCAUUGUGACACGAUCUGAUAGGUCAGGUCGGGUCGUAACAAUAUCAACGCUUCGAGCUUCAAUCUGGUCAGGUUCUUCUUCCUCGAAGUAGCGAGUAAUCUCUUUGUGGCUUGUUUGCUGAGCUUCAAUUUGUUGCUCUUCUUUAUCAUGGGCUUUGAUUUUGCUAAUGCAUGGGGGAUCCUUGGUGGUAACAUUAGGAAUUUUUGAUGAGCUUUCUGACAUUUUCGAAGUGUAGCAAAGGAGGAGGAGGAGGAGGUAUCGUCACUUUCUUUUACUCUAUGAUUUACAACAUAACUUAUUAUAUAAGCCUUUGCAUUGGGUCCCUAUCACCUGAUUAUCUUAAAAAGUAUUAUGCCAUUCACAAGUUAAAUUAUUUGUCUAAAUUUGAAGGCAUGUUCAAAAUAUAAAAAAAAAAGUUUAGAUCAAAGUACU
rnacentral:lncRNA from 1 species